UCGAUACUACAAUUUAUAAGCAACAGUUAGCCAUGGCCAUCCAGCAUCUGCUCCUCAUCGUCUUGCUGGCUUCCGUCCUCCAAGCGACCACCUCCGACACAGCGUACGACCUUUUGGAGAAAAACAAAUUCCCACGGGCUCUCCUGCCUCAGGGUGUGAAGUCGUACGUGAAUCAUGGAGGCGCCAUUGAGGUGACCCUCCCCGCCUCCUGCGACUUCAACGUUACGGUUGCCGGUGGAUCACACAAGAUUCGGUUUGACAGCAUAGUCAGUGGGGUUAUCCAGCCCGGAUCCAUAACUCAACUGGGCGGCGUGAGGAUCCAGUUUGAGUGGGAUUUUCUUGCAUUCCACACGGUUCAACGCGUUGGUGACAAGCUCAGGUUUACUGGUAGUGAGCAUGCAGCCACGUUCGACCAGUCAUUUCCAGUUAGCAACUUCGUGCAGAGCCCCAGGUGCAGCUAAGGGUCUGAUUGAUUAGGGAUGCAUCCCACGCAUGCUUUACUAUAAAUGUAUGCAAUAUGCAUGUGUCUUUGUGAGUCUGUUGCUUUAUGUAGAAUGAAUAAAUUGAUUAUGUAAUAAGUCAUGGUUCCAAGAUCUAAUAUUAUUGUGAUGAUAAUUUUUUGCCCAGUUAUUUAUUGUAAGAUGUUGCAAUGGUUCCUCCUAACCACAGGAACUAGAAAUUCCACAUGAUAUACUCUGUCGGAGUCUCGUAGGUAAUUAGAAAUAAUCUUGAUCUACAUAGCAUCGAGUGUUUGAUAAAAAACUACCACUUUAGAGAUAUCUGUCCCACAAAACUACCACUUUUUAAAAAGUGACCAAAUACUAAAAAAAAAUCUUAAUUUUGUGACUAAAAACUACCAGUUUCAGAUAAUGAUGAGUUUAAAUGAUUUAAACACGUUUAUGACAUGAAGGGCCCACUAGUCAAGGCUGACGUGCGGCAAAGUCAACUCCGUUUAUUUUGACCGUCGAGUUGACCAUUAUUAUAGAUGGGGCCACACAUCAGCGCCCUGGUCAGCAUCUACAUUCUUCUUCCUCCCUCUUUUAGGCAUUUCAACGAACAUCUUGUACUACAAAACUACCACUUUUUAAAAAGUGACCAAAUACUACAAAAAUUUCUUAAUUUUGUGACUAAAAACUACCAGUUUCAGAUAAUGACGAGUUUAAAUGAUUUAAACACGUUUAUGACAUGAAGGGCCCACUAGUCAAGGCUGACGUGCGGCAAAGUCAACUCCGUUUAUUUUGACCGUCGAGUUGACCGUUAUUAUAGAUGGGGCCACACAUCAGCGCCCUGGUCAGCGUCUACAUUCUUCUUCCUCCCUCUUUUAGGCAUUUCAACGAACAUCUUGUACUCGAAACAAAAUCAAUCGAUGCUGCCGCUCGCCGAGGACCACCUCCUCGCGCCCCGGUGCAUCGAGUCACGGAUCCACAUCACGCUGCACGAGUAGCAGUAGCAUGCAGCGGGGUGGCAGAUGUGGUAGACCAGCGACCGCCAGACCCAGCAGCGGAAGGCGGUGAAGGUAUGCGCCGAAGCCCCAGGCGUCCUCAAGCACCAUCAUCACCGAGGCGACGCACCACACCGCGCCGACGUGCGCAGCCCCAGCAAAGUGCAUAAUGCCUCCCGGCAGCAGGGCCUCCUGCGUGGAGCCGAGGAGGAGGAGAAAGGCGUGAAGGCAAGUGGUUGUGAGGUGCCCGGCAACCUUGCCCCGGUCCGGACAAGGCGCGCGGUGCUGUGGGAGUCGCCUCAAAAGACGAACAUGACGGACUUGGCGAGGAAUGUGAGGACGGUGGACGUCACGCCCGAUUGAGCGGGCGUCACGGUCGGCGUCACCGUCGCCUGUCGUCGACAUAGAGCGCGAUGACCCGCACACACACCUCGUCCUCCGACAGCAAGCAUGGCGCUCGUGGAGGUGCCUCCGCUGUUGACCAGGAGGCAGGCACAGCGCCAUGCUCGGACUUCCAUCGCGUCUGUGUUGAAUGCGGCCGCGACGGCCUCUUCGUCGCUCACUCUCACGGCCGGCAGUCAGCGCAACUCCAAAGGGCCGACCCAUUUCGUCCGCCUGCGUCCGUUUGGGUCGGCACGGACAAAAGUGGCGGCCUAACGCGCCGACCCAAACCCAAAUCACAUCCGCGUCAUGUCCGCGCCGACGCAUUUGCGGCCCAAAUUUGUGACCCAAAUGCGUCGGCGCGGACACCGAACGGAUGCUUCACGCGCCUUCUCGCUAUCCGCCGCGUCCCCACAUGGCGGCCGUCCAACUACCCGCUGCCCACGCGUUCAGCUUAAUUUAUGAUGACGGGCCCACGCAUCAGUGACGGCGCUCGUCCUUUUUUAUGCCGACCGUGCGGCGGGGCCGUCCUCAUCCAAACUCGCCGUCCACAUCUGCCCACCUUUGCUCCCUCGUCGCCGGCAAACCCUAGCCACCACAACCACAGCGAGAUGGGCCUCUUCUCCGGCGCCAGCGGCAGCAAGGCCAAGGGCAAGUCCCCCGCCACCCCUUACCUCGAGAUGUGGCGCCAGCGCCGGCUGGCAGAGGAGCGUUGUCGCGACGAGUACGAGGAGAUGCUCGAGCACGACCUCGAGGAGGAGCAGCGCGAGGCCGAGGAGGAGGCGCGCCAGGCCGCGGCUGCACAGGCGGCCACACACCCCCCCGGCACUGCCUGCACCGGCACAGCCCGACGUGACGGCACUCUGGAACACGGCGUUCCCCUAGGCCGGGCCGGCGCCGACGCUCAUCAACCUCACGGACCCCGAGGACUACGAUGACGCCUAGGGCAGCGCGCCGCCUCGUAGUUUAGGUUGUUUUUAUUUUUUUUAAAUGCAAAUGCGGGCGCGUGGACUCUCGCCGGCCUUCGUGGCCAACUUUAAUGUUUAAUUAAUGUUGUUUCUCUUUUUUUAAUAUGCAUGCGUUCAUUUUUUGGCGCCGUCAAAAUGGGUCUUGGGCCAGCGUUGGGCGCACGCGCCGACCCAAAUGCGGAAGCUUGCAUCCUUGUCCGUCUGGCUGACCUAAACAGACAAAAAGCGGACGAAAUCGCCGUCCGUUUGGUUCGGCCCAUUGGAGUUGCUCUCAGCUUCGCAUUCUCGACGGUGUCCAUGCUUUGUUCCAUCACGCUGGCACAAACACUGGUGUUCGUUGAAAUGCUUAAGAGAGAGAAAAGAGGAGGAAGAAGAAUGUAGGCGCUCACGUGUGGGCCCUGCCUGUAAUAACGGUCAAUUUGACGGUCAAAUUGAAUUGAGUUGAUUUUGCCGACACGUCAUCCCUGACGAGUGGGUCCCGCAUGUCAUGAACGUGUUUAAAUCGUUUAAAUUCGCAAUUUUCUGAAACUGGUAGUUUCUAGUCACAAAGUUAAGAAAUUUUGGUAGUUUUCGAUCACUUUUUAAAAAGUGGUAGUUUUGUGGGACGGAUACCCCUAAAGUGGUAGUUUUUUGUCAAACACUCACAUACCAUCAGAUCCAAGGGUGUCCGAUGGGUUGUAAAAUAUCACAGGGCUUAUUGGAAAGUAGAAGAGCAAAACAACUCAGUCCUAAUGUGUACUUCCUCCGUUCCUAAAUAUAGGUCUUUCUAGAGAUUUCAACAGGUGACUACAUGCGAUGCAAAAUAAGUGAAUCUAGACUCUGAAAUAUGUCUAUAUACAUUCGUAUAUGGUAGUCCAUUUGAAAUCUCGAAAAAGACUUAUAAUUAGGAAUGGAGGGAGUAAUAUUCUUUAUGAUAUUUGACAUUAACAACCACUAAAAUAAGAAAGGAGAGCAAGGUAUAUUUGAUCUUUCAUUCCCCAUGCAUUUUAAGUUCUACAUGUUAAGGUUGGUCGUAAUGGUAGUAUCAUAGGUAGUUCAAUGUAUGUCAACUAGACAAAUUUGAUGAGGUGGCAUAGAAUUAAAUGAAGAAAAGGAGGGUUCAGUAUCAUAUCAUGAUACCGUAUCAUAUUGAAUGAUGUGCUACUAUGUGUAAUGCAUGGCAAUAAAUGAUGUUAGCUAUGAUACUGACAUAUAAUAGUAUCAUACACUAGUAUCAUAUGCAUUAUACUAAUAUAUGAUACUCGCCAUUACGGCCAGCCUAAUAAAUGCCUAGACUCUUAUUUGGUUGAUUUGCAGAAUGUUCUCUAGAAAUAACCACAGCAUUUCUCUAAAAAAGAUAACAUUGCUGAAAAUCAUGGAAAAAACAUCAGCAAUCUUUGUUCUUUUAGGGGAUCAGCUAUAUUUGACGGCAUGCAUAAAGUAAGUAUAUUCCAAUAUUCAGUGAGCAAAUCCCCAAGUAGUAAUUGCUGGAAUUUAGUUUACUGGAAUUUAGUUUAUUUUGGGCAGCCCAAUAACUAUUUCAGAAAUUCCUAAUAAAUCCUAGAGGCCCACUUAGCCCAUUUGUGCAAGGCAAGGGAUACUACUAAAGUUUAGUCCCACAUUGCUAGUUUAGUGGGAGUAGGACCUCCUUAUAAGGGAGGUUCUUUCCUCACUUGUACGAGCAUGAGAACAGGAGGGAUAUCCACGCGCGCUCCUCCGCCGCCGCCCGCCUCGCCACGCCUCGCCACGAGCCGCGCCGCGGGUUGCGGGAAUGAGCCGAGCCGAUAUCUAAAUUUUUGCCACGCACUAUGGGUAUAUGAAAGGUCACACGGAAGCUGAAAAGAUUUUUGCGAAAGUGGAGUUCGAAUGCGAACGGUGCAGCCCUUCGGCUGCUGGCUGUUCGCUUCGCCUCCGUCUCUUCGUUUCGCCUUCCGUCGCUGCCCUCUCGCCUCCUUCUCUUGCGCCUAUAAAAGGGAGGUCGCUCCUCCCAGAGAGACGCACCAGAACUUCUCCUUCCUCUCGCCAUCGGUUCCAUCUUGGAGUUGUUGCUGUCUUCCUCAUCCCGGCUUGCGGCGUGCACCGCACAUCGGGACAAUAGGCCUCCGAAACCGCACCUCUUUGAGUCCUCUACGGGAGAAGGGUGAUAAGGUUUUUGGGGAGCUCUCUGCGCGACUACUGACUGACUCCUUCGUCACCGACGCCCGGAAUCCGACGACUACUUCCCCGACGUCGACAACCUCCUCGACGACAUGGCUGGCGCGGACACCGACCCCAAGUCCAGUGCUACUGCUGCUGCUGUCCCGUAUGUGUUCUUCUUUUUGUUAGAUGUCCUGCCACAGUUUCUCGUACUAGUACUUGCUCUAGAUAUGUUAGGUUCUACUUCAUAUAUGCAACUAGUUCUACUGUCUGCUAUAGAUAUGCUAGGCUACGGUUCAUAUAUGCAGAAGCUAUUUACCUUCUCUCUGUCAGAAAGCAUGACUUGUUUUAUCUCUAUUAUAUUAGUCAUGCUUUAUCUAGUAUUUCUGUUAAUAAAAUCAUUUGGUAAAUUGCUCUUAUUUCCAACAAUCCAAAAACCUUAUAAUAGGCAAUUUACCACAAGUGGUUUUGCUGCUUGCAUGAGACCUCCUACGUUUGAGGGUAUCAACUAUAAGAGGUGGCGCAUGAGAGCAGUCUUAUGGUUUCAAACCAUGAGUUGCUAUGACGCCACUCUCGGCAAACCUGAAGGGGAGCUUGAUGCUCAACAGGCACAAGCCUUUCAGAAAAUGGAUACCUUGUUUAAGGCUGCUCUCUUGAGUGUUCUUGGUGAGAACAUAGUUGAUGCUUAUGCAUGAAUUGAUAAUGGAAAAGAUAUGUGGAAUGCACUCGAGGCCAAGUUUGGGGUCUCGGAUGUUGGCACUGAGCUGUACAUCAUGGAGCAAUUCUAUGAUUUCAGGAUGACUGAAGAGCGCUCCGUGGUUGAGCAAGCUCAUGAGAUACAGUCAUUUGUUAGAGAACUUGAGCACUUCGGUUGUAUACUACCGGACAAGUUUGUUGCCGGAGGUAUCAUCACUAAGCUUCCUCCUUCAUGGAGGAACUUUGCUACCUUGCUGAAGCAUAAGAGGCAGGAGUUUUCUGUCCCGGAUCUCAUUAGCACUCUUGAUGUGGAAGAAAAGGCGAGAGCAAAGGACACACGUGCUCGAGGUAUUGAGGGAGGAUCUAGUGCCAAUGUGGUACAGAAGCAGAACUUCUAGCCCCACAAGUUCAAGAACAAGGGCAAGUUUGAUGGUAAAGCAAAGUUUGAUGGGAAGAACAAGGCUGUCCAGCACAAGAACUUCAAGAAGAAGAAUGACAAGAAGAAAGGUAUCUGUCAUGUGUGUGGGGAUCCUGAUCAUUGGGCUCCUAGUUGCUCUAAUCGCUAUGACAAGCGUCAUCCUGGGAAAGGUAGCAAGACCGCUAAUGUUGUCAUUGGAGACACUGACAUGAAGGAUGCUGGGUAUGGUAUAUUUCCCACUAUUCUUUCAGUAUGCCAUUCUCCUGAUUGGUUGAUUGACACGGGUGCUAAUGUGCAUGUAUGCGGUGAUAUUUCCAUGUUUUCGUCUUAUCAGACCGCAGGGACUUCAACCGUGCUGAUGGGCAAUGGUUCAAGUGCUUCUGUUCAUGGUGUUGGCAUGGUCGAUCUGAAGUUUACUUCAGGGAAGAUCGUGCGGCUGAAGAACGUGCAUUAUGUCCCCGCCGUCAAUAAAAAUCUUGUUAGCGGAUCUCUUCUGUGUAGAGAUGGCUACAAGCUUGUCUUUGAGUCGAAUAAAUUUGUAAUAUCCAAGUAUGGAACCUUGGUUGGUAAAGGCUAUGAGUCAGGAGGCCUGUUUCGUUUAUCCUUAUCAGACGUUUGCAAUAAAGUUGUUAAUCAUAUUUGCAACAAUAGUGAAUCAAUUGUGUGGCAUUCACGUCUUUGUCAUGUUAACUUUGGUUGCAUGUCGCGACUAGUGAAGUUGAACUUAAUCCCUAGUUUCACCAUUGUCAAGGGAUCUAAGUGGUAAGUGUGUGUGCAAGCUAAGCAACCUCGUAAGUCUCACACGACUAUGGAAACGAGAAAUCUUGCACCACUAGAGCUCAUACAUUCAGAUCUAUGUGCAAUGAAUGGUGUUUUGACAACAGAUGGAAAGAAAUAUUUCAUGAUGUUAAUUGAUGACUCCACUAGAUACUGUCAUGUGUAUCUUCUGAAGUCUAAGGAUGAGGCUUUUAACUUUUUCAAGAUCUAUAAAGCUGAAGUGGAAAACCAACUUGAUCGAAAAAUCAAGAGGCUUAGGUCCGAUUGUGGUGGAGAGUAUUUUUCCAAUGAAUUUGAUGCUUUUUGUGUGGAACAUGGUAUAAUCCAUGAGAGUACACCUCCCUAUUCACCUCAGUCAAAUGGGGUGGCCGAAAGAAAGAACCGUACUCUAACAGAUUUGGUUAACGCCAUGUUAGACACUUCGGGUCUCUCCAAGGCAUGGUGGGGGGAGGUGAUAUUGACUGCAUGUCAUGUCCUAAACCGAGUUCCCACAAAGAACAAAGAGAUAACUCCAUUCGAGGAAUGGGAGAAGAAAAGGUUAAAACUCUCUUAUCUACGAACAUGGGGUUGUUUGGCGAAAGUCAAUGUUCCAAUUCCAAACGAGCGGAAGCUUGGACCAAAGACUGUGGAUUGUGUUUUCCUAGGAUAUGCUUUUCAUAGCGUUGGCUAUAGAUUCUUGGUUGUAAAAUCUGAGGUACCUGACAUACAUGUCGGUACGAUCAUGGAGUCGAAUGAUGCAACUUUCUUUGAAGAUAUCUUUCCCAUGAAGGAUAUGGCUACCUCAUCUAAUCAUGAGAUGCCUAGUUCAUCGAAUGAGGAAUCAGUUACAAUUACCGAACCUGCCAUUUCGAUGGAACAAUUUGAAAGUCAUGUGGAGGAGAAUAAUGAAGUUCCUAUUAGGAGCAAGAGACAGAGGACUGCAAAGUCCUUUGGUGAUGAUUUUCUUGUGUAUCUCAUAGAUGACACUCCCAGUUCUAUUUCAGAGGCUUAUGCAUCUGAAGAUGCUGACUACUGGAAGGAAGCGGUUCGUAGCGAGAUGGAUUCCAUCUUAGCGAAUGAAACUUGGGAGAUAACUAAUCAUCCUUAUGGGUGCAAACCUAUACGAAGCAAAUGGGUAUUCAAGAAGAAGCUUAGUCCUGAUGGUACUAUUGAAAAGUACAAGGCUCGUCUCGUGGCUAAGGGUUAUACCCAAAAGGAAGGUGAAGACUUCUUUGAUACUUACUCACUUGUGGCUUGACUGACCACUAUUCGAGUUCUCCUUUCACUAGCUGCCUCACAUGGUCUUCUCGUUCAUCAAAUGGAUGUUAAGACUGCUUUUCUAAAUGGAGAGUUGGACGAGGAAAUUUAUAUGGAACAACCAGAUGGGUUUGUACUAGAUGGUCAGGAAGGAAAAGUGUGCAAGUUGCUGAAGUCUUUGUAUGGACUCAAGCAAGCACCCAAACAGUGGCAUGAGAAGUUUGAAAGAACUUUAACAGCCGCAGGCUUUGUUGUAAGCGAACCUGACAAAUGUGUGUACUAUCGCCAUGGUGGGGGCGAGGGAGUUAUCCUUUGCUUGUAUGUUGAUGACAUAUUGAUUUUUGGAACAAAUCUAAAUGUUAUUAAGGAGGUCAAGAAUUUCCUAUCUCGCUGUUUUGAGAUGAAGGAUUUAGGAGUGGCUGAUGUCAUUCUGAACAGUAAGUUGUUGAGAGACGAUGAUGGUGGGAUUACAUUGCUUCAAUCUCACUAUGUGGAAAAGAUCUUGAGUCGCUUUGGCUAUAGUGACUGCAAGCCCUCUCCAACACCAUAUGAUGUGAGUGUGUUACUUCGAAAGAAUCGAAGAAUUGCUAGAGAUCAAUUGAAAUAUUCUCAGAUUAUUGGCUCGCUUAUGUACUUAGCAAGUGCUACAAGACCUGGCAUCUCUUUUGCUGUUAGCAAACUGAGUCGGUUUGUCUCAAAACCAGGAGAUGUGCAUUGGAAAGCUCUAGAGAGAGUUUUGCGUUAUUUGAAAGGCACUGCAAAUUAUGGAAUUUACUACACCGGGCAUCCAAAGGUGCUUGAAGGGUAUAGUUGUUGGGGAACACAGUAAUUUCAAAAAAAAUCCUAAGCACACGCAAGAUCAUGAUGAUGCAUAGCAACGAGAGGGGAGAGUGUUGUCUACGUACCUACACAGACCGACUGCGGAAGCGUUGACGCAACUUAGAGGAAGUAGUCGUACGUCUUCUCGAUCCGACCGAUCCAAGCACCGUUACUCCGGCACCUCCGAGUUCUUAGCACACGUACAGCUCGAUGACGAUCCCCGGGCUCCGAUCCAGCAAAGCGUCGGGGAGGAGUUCCGUCAGCACGACGGCGUGGUGACGAUCUUGAUGUUCUACCGUCGCAGGGCUUCGCCUAAGCACCGCUACAAUAUGAUCGAGGUGGAAUAUGGUGGCAGGGGGCACCGCACACGGCUAAGGAACGAUCUCAAGGAUCAACUUGUGUGCCCUAGGGUGCUCCCCUGCCUCCGUAUAUAAAGGAGCCAAGGGGGAGGGGACAGCCGGCCAAGGAGGGCGCGCCAAGGGAGUCCUACUCCCUCUGGGAGUAGGAUUCCCCCCCCCCCCCAAUCCUAGUUGGAAUAGGAUUCCUUGAGGGGGGAAAGAGAGAGAGGGGGCCGGCCACCUCUCCUUGUCCUAAUAGGACUAGGGGAGGGGGGAGGCGUGCAGCCCACCUUGGGCUGCCCCUUUCUCCUUUCCACUAAAGCCCACUAAGGCCCAUAUAGCUCCCGGGGGGUUCCGGUAACCUCCCGGUACUCCGGUAAAAUCCCGAUUUCACCCGGAACACUUCCGAUAUCCAAACAUAGGCUUCCAAUAUAUCAAUCUUUAUGUCUCGACCAUUUCGAGACUCCUUGUCAUGUCCGUGAUCACAUCCGGGACUCCGAACUAACUUCGGUACAUCAAAAAUGCAUAAACUCAUAAUAACUGUCAUCGUAACGUUAAGCGUGCGGACCCUACGGUUCGAGAAUAAUGCAGACAUGACUGAGACACAUCUCCGGUCAAUAACCAAUAGCGGGACCUGGAUGCCCAUAUUGGCUCCUACAUAUUCUACGAAGAUCUUUAUCGGUCAGACCGCAUAACAACAUACGUUGUUCCCUUUGUCACCGGUAUGUUACUUGCCCGAGAUUCGAUCGUCGGUAUCCAAUACCUAGUUCAAUCUCGUUACCGGCAAGUCUCUUUACUCGUUCCGUAAUACAUCAUCUCGCAACUAACUCAUUGGCUGCAAUGCUUGCAAGGCUUAUGUGAUGUGCAUUACCGAGAGGGCCCGGAGAUACCUCUCCGACAAUCAGAGUGACAAAUCCUAAUCUCGAAAUACGCCAACCCAACAUCUACCUUUGGAGACACCUGUAGAGCUUCUUUAUAAUCACCCGGUUACGUUGUGACGUUUGGUAGCACACAAAGUGUUCCUCCGGUAAACGGGAGUUUCAUAAUCUCAUAGUCAUAGGAACAUGUAUAAGUCAUGAAGAAAGCAAUAGCAACAUACUAAACGAUUGGGUGCUAAGCUAAUGAAAUGGGUCAUGUCAAUAAGAUCAUUCAACUAAUGAUGUGACCUCGUUAAUCAAAUAACAACACCUUGUUCAUGGUUAGGAAACAUAACCAUCUUUGAUUAACGAGCUAGUCAAGUAGAGGCAUACUAGUGACACUAAGUUUGUCUAUGUAUUCACACAUGUAUUAUAUUUCUGGUUAAUACAAUUCUAGCAUGAAUAAUAAACAUUUAUCAUGAUAUAAGGAAAUAAAUAAUAACUUUAUUAUUGCCUCUAGGGCAUAUUUCCUUCAAUAGUGACUCAAACUGGAUCUCAGAUGCUGAUGAGAUAAAGGCCACGAGCGGUUAUGUAUUCACUCAUGGAGGUGGCGCUGUUUCUUGGAAGUCUUGCAAGCAGACCAUCUUAAUGAGGUAAACAAUGGAAGCAGAACUCACAACACUAGAUACAGCUACGGUUGAAGCAGAUUGGCUUCGUCGGCUCUUGAAUGACUUGCCGGUUGUUGAGAAACCUGUACCGGGUGUCCUUAUGAACUGCGACAAUCAAACUGUGAUCACGAAAGUGAGCAGCUCAAAGGAUAACAUGAAGUCAUCAAGACACGUUCAGAGAAGGUUAAAGUCUGUCAGGAAAAUGAAAAACUCCGGAGUUAUUGCGUUGGAUUAUAUCCAAAUGUCUAAAAAUCUGGCAGAUCCUUUUACUAAGGGUCUAUCACGUAAUGUGAUAGAUAAUGCAUCGAGGGAGAUGGGUAUGAGACCCACAAUAUGAGUUGUUCAUAGUGGUAACCUAUUCUUUGUGAUUGGAGAUCCCAUGAAUUAGAUGUGGAAGACAAGUUGUUGGUCAACUGAGAGGAGAGUAUCCUUACUAUUCACAAUACCACUCCAUGAAGAUGCAAUACUCUCCUAAUCUGCAUGGCAGGUUGAUGUAUACCUUAAUGUGUUCUAAGUGGCUUAUUUAAGCAGAGAUGUUAUCCUGCAGAACAUCUUUUGAAGAACACACCUAUAUGAGUCUAAUUGUCAAACGUCGCAAUCUAUGAGAGUAGGGUUCUCUCUAGUAAACUCAUGAAAGGUCACGGAGUAUGACGCAUAAGCUCCAGCCGCGGGGAAGACCCACGGUAGCCACGUAUCGGUCAAGGCUUUAUGUGAAGCUAGAUUCGCAGAAAACUUGCACUUCAAGGCCCAGUCCACUGUACAAGUUGCUUACUAGUAUAGCAUAGAGUUCUAGGUGAAAGUUCAACUUAACAGUCUCCACUACAGUACCGGUAUAUAAAACAGUGCUUUGGAACCAAAGGCAAAUUUUUGUGUGCCUCUGGGAUCUGGUGGGGGAUUGCUGGAAUUUAGUUUAUUUUGGGCAGCCCAAUAACUAUUUCAGAAAUUCCUAAUAAAUCCUAGAGGCCCACUUAGCCCAUUUGUGCAAGGCAAGGGAUACUACAAAAGUUUAGUCCCACAUUGUUAGUUUAGUGGGAGUUGGACCUCCUUAUAAGGGAGGUUCUUUCCCCACUUGUACAAGCAUGAGAACAAGAGGGAUAUCCACGCGCGCUCCUCCUCCGUCGCCCGCCUUGCCAUGCCACGCCACGCCACGCCACGCCAUGACACGCCUCGUCAUGACGCGCCGCGCCACGGGUUGCGGGAAUGAGCCGAGCCGAUAUCUAAAUUUUUGCCAUGCACUACGGGUAUACGAAAGGUCACACGGAAGCUGAAAAGAUUUUUGUGAAAGUGGAGUUCGAAUGCGAACGGCGCAGCCCUUUGGCUGCUGGCUGUUCGCUUUGCCUCCGUAUCUUCGUUUCGCCUUCCGUCAUUGCCCUCUCGCCUCCUUCUCUUGCGCCUAUAAAAGGGAGGUCGCUCCUCCCAGAGAGACGCACCAGAACUUCUCCUUCCUCUCACCAUCGGUUCCAUCUCGGAGCUGCUGCUGUCUUCCUCAUCCCGGCUUGCGGCGUGCACCGCACGUUGGGACAGUAGGCCUCCGAAACCGCACCUCUUUGAGUCCUGUAUGGGAGAAGGGUGAUAAGGUUUUUGGGGAGCGCUCUGCGCGACUACUGACUGACUCCUUCAUCCUUGACGCCCUGGACUCCGACGACUACUUCCCCGACGUCGACAACCUCCACGACAACAUGGCUGGCGAGGACACCGACCCCAAGUCCAGUGCUACUACUGCUGCUGUCCCGUACGUGUUCUUCUUUCUGUUAGAUGUCCUGCCAUAGUUUCUCGUACUAGUACUUGCUCUAGAUAUGUUAGGUUCUACUUCAUAUAUGCAACUAGUUCUACUGUCUGCUAUAGAUAUGCUAGGCUACAGUUCAUAUAUGCAGAAGCUAUUUACCUUCUCUUUGUCAGAAAGCAUGACUUGUUUUAUCUCUAUUAUAUUAGUCACACUUUAUCUAGUAUUUAUGUUAAUAAAAUCAUUUGGUAAAUUGCUCAUAUUUCCAACAGUAAUUCCCAUUCAGCAACAUGGACGAUAAUAAUAUUUUCUUGUGAUCCGUAACAAAAGUUCAAAAUUAGCCAAAAUACUGAAGGGGGAUGUCCCGGUAGCUACACCAACUUUCUAUGGCCAGAAUCGGUGGAAUCGGAUGCGGCGGCCCAAGAUUUGGUAGCUGACAUCCCGGACUGCAGGGUGGUGGCGGGGCUGAGAACGGCCGAUUGUGUCGGGGCGGCGGCAUGCGCUGCGACAGUCGGUCAGAGUAGGUGUGGCGACCGUCGGCGGUGGGGUAGUCUCAUCACGAGUGGUUGGGUUCCUGCUGCAUUGUUUUUGGUUUCAGCGCAGCUGCUAGAUAUGUGUAACAAAAUUUUGGGUAACUUUCUUUUGCAACAUAUGGGUAUAUAGGGCAUCUUUUGGACACUUUUUGUUUGCCCAAAGUGACCUAACUGACAACUUUUUUGACACAACGGCUGUUUUAAAGAAAGCAUAUUAAGCUGAGUGUGCAGACCACCUAGCAAAGGCUGAUUUCACCUCGACGGGUUUGACACUCAGCGUAACGCACUCAGGGUACAUCAUGUCGGUCGGCAUACCAACGUAAACCGAGUGCCUUUCGUCCACUAGUAGAGAAAUGACAGAACAAAACAUCGUAGGGUGUGCGAUGGGUUGUCCGAUUGUGAAUUAUGUCUGGUGCUAUGUUUGCUUGUAAAAAAUGAGUAAUUGUAUAAUGUAGCACUUAUUUUAGACCUAGUCGAGCCCAUUCAUCGCACACGGUUUUGAAAGAGUGUGCAUUGGCACCCCAAUCGCCAACCCAUCCGAGCACACGAUUGUUAAUUAUAACCGUAUGUGAUGGACCCUUCCUAUUGCACAUAGUUUGUAUGUUCUAACUGUGUGUGAUGGACUCAAUAUCGCAUACAAUUUUUAUGCUCUAACCGCAGCCUAGGCUCGAGAUUAACCCAACGCGAUGGUUGAUGAACUAUGAGCAGGCCCUUCUACUAUGUUAGUGAUCACUAGUUUAAAUAGGCAUUAUACUUCUCUCUUAUCUCCUGGCUGGGAUUUGGAUGAUGGCAUCAGGCGGUGUAAUCGUGUAGCUAUGAUGGUGGACGGGCGACUAGUUAACAAACCAAUUUCCGCAAUUUCAAAUUCUAAUCCCUAGCAAUUCCUCUUAAUCAAGUGAGUUUCUCACGGUUGGUAUAAGAUUCAGUGGUCCUAGAGUUGCUGCGACACCAUCACUGGAUGCGGUGGCGUGAUCGGCGAUGAGCGGAGGCGAUGGACAAGUCAUCUGAGGAAGGGUGCAGCAUGUACGCGCUUCAACGAGCAUAUUGCACCGUAGGUCUGGACCGGCUCUUCAAGGAUCACGAUGAGAACCUCCUUCAAGCGGUCGACAAUCUCAUCCAAUCCAACACUGCCACGCUCGAUGGCUUGCUUUCGGCUCAUGACCCAACAAUUAUAAUAGUAUGGAACAAUAAAAAAUUAUAAAUACGUUGGAGCUCCGACGGUGUUGGCAAGAUCUUCAACGGCAUCUUCAUGGGAAUGUGUGCGAGGAGGCACAUCGAAAGACAUUCCGCCCAUGGCGGCCGGAGGUGCAUCCAUGCCUCCCAUGAGAGAAGCAAAACUCAUACCUCCCAUGGUGGCCAUACCGGGACCUAAGUGAUCGGUCGGAGCGGUCAAUUCCACUCACGUUGCGAACAUCAAAGUGUUCCUUCAUCCGAAGCCAAUAAGCAUCUCUACUUUGAUCACCUCCAACGGAUGGAUCCCUCGACACUUGCAACCAAGUAUUGCAUAGUAAGAUGUCAUCGGCGUUGCUGUAAUUGCCCGCUCUUCCUUUCGGUGCGUCGACAACGCUCUCACCCUCCUCGUCCACCUCAAACUCAUGGUUUUUGAAAUGCAUGUCAUUGGUUUGAGACCAAUGUGAAUUGUUGGAGCCAACACCCAUCGUUGACAUGUAUGCAUCAUCAUUGAGACUACAAAGUUUUUUGAACAAUGCAAAUAAGCUGUCUAUAUGUGAAUGCAUUCAAAAAAUAACAAAAAAUGAAAAGUUCGAUUUUUUUUACCUUGGAGGCAUUUCGUCGAACAUAUUGUGCGCGCCGGUCGCCGGCUCAACGAGUGAGCUCGCCGGCGCUUCGGUAGCCGCCACGCCCGUCGCACGCCCCGCAAGCUUCUUCCUCCUCGCCUUGGAGGUGCCGGAGCCGUCCACCGCCUUGUUUUUCUUCGCCGAUGUCUUGCCCUUCUUUGGCCGCGCCGCAUUGGGGAGCUUUGAGGAGGAGGGGCGGCCGCUCGGGCCAGCGCCGGCGCGACGCCUCCCACCGCCGAGGUCAUCCGCGGCGGCAUGAAGAGGCCGCGCGCGAGGCCGAUGGUCGGAGGAGCUCCGGCGGAGGCGAGGCCAACGCCACCCAGGCUAGGGUUUGUGGCGGUGGCGGCGGGGGGUCGCGCGAAUAGGACAUGGUGAGCGGGGUGCCGGCACGUGCUCCAUGGGGUGCGGGUGCCAGCGCCGAGGCGCGCGGGGCUUUGGAGGGGGAGAAGACAAAGCACAACGCGAGCGCUCGAGUGUGCCGCGUGCGAAAGCGGGCGCCGCAAAUACACCGUGCGAGGUAGCGCUUCCUGCCGCGUGCCCAACUCCUCAUACCGCGCGAGCUAUUAUUGCGGGCCCACUGGAGCCAUCCGCCGGGUUGCGCGUGCUAAACUGGGUAUAUUUACGGCGCGGCACCUGUUUAGCGCGCCUGUUGGAGAUGCUCUUACAAAUCCACAAGUUCAAUGAUCCAAACAACAAAGUUAAAAGCAAAAGAUACAAGCCUACAGGCAGAAUCACAGCGACGCAGUGCUGACAAGCCAACAACAAGAAGGAAAUGGGCUAUCGAGGUAGCGAGGGGCGGUGAUGAGCCGGUGAUGUCCCCUACGGUGGUCGGCGCAUCUCAGUGCACCUUGCUCGCACCUUUGUUACGAGCUCCUGCACGCGUCCUCUGUCUUGUGGUUUUGCUAGUAGCUUCCAAAGCUGCAAGAAAGACACCAUUUUGUAUAGAAGAUCAGCUGGAUGCUUGAUAAAAUGAACAUACAAAAUGAAGGUGGUUAUUCAUACGAAACUGCCUGUGGCAAGAAGGGAAUAGAAAGCUGGACGAAAUCACAUGUGUUGUCCAUGAUAUUGGAGGCGGUUUGCACAAGCCGACUUCGUGCAGAGUAUUAACGAAUCAGGCUUUGAGGAGGAAAUGAAACUAGUGUUGUAAUAUAUUCCAAAAAUAUUUGGUUCCAGGAAACAUUUGAAUUAAUAGUAUAUGAGAAAAACAUAAAAACAUAUUAUAUAAUUGUAUAGUUGAAAAAUAUUUGUCCAAUAUAGGUAGUAAAAUAAUAUAAUGGUUUUUUCCCAUGCAUGUUGGGUGGGACUUCGAUGAGGUGGCAUAUGUGCAUGGCUUAUAUGUGUAUGUUGAAAUAAAUAGAAGUAAUGAGGGUCAAUCCAUAAUAAAAAAAUAAUUCUCAUGCAUAUUGUGUUGGAUCGUUGAUGAUGUGACAUGUGUGCAUGUUAAGAUAAUAGAAAUAACGAGGAUAAACUAUUUAGGUAUGUAGGAUAUGUUUUCAAUCUCAUUUUAUGGUACGUAUUGAUUAUGCAGAUUUGAUGAACAUUUUGGCAAAACCAUUAACUAUAGAAUGUUCUAGGCCAGAAAUAAAUAUGAUUUAAUGGGAUGAUAUAUUUAGCAUAUUUGAUGAGGCAGUUAAUGGAAUGGCAAUUAGGAACAAAAUAAAUGAAAUUAAAGUACGAUUGACUUUGAUUUCGUUGGGCGGCAUAUAUAAUACGUGGUCAGGGCUUUGGCUCUAGGUCAAGAAGACCUUGGCAAACACUCAACCGUGACCACCACCAAUGCCCUAGCCUACUUCAUGUACCUCGUGAACAAAGUCAUCACAGAGUACUUGGACAAUUUGGGUGUCUUCAUUAUAUGAUGACAUAAUUGUCUACCCGAAGACAGAAGAAGAGACAUUCAGUUGGUUAAGGGACAUCUGAAGACCGCCAUGUCAAGGGGGGAUAACUAAACCAGCUGCCAUCGUCAAAAAGUAAACUCCCGCGUCGAAGACCAUGUGUACCAACGGGUCACUCUCAGAAGAACCAAGCAUUUCCAUGACAAGGAAACCCACACCAAGAUUAAACAACCCCCUCUGAGAUCACUACGAGACGAAGAGAAGACAAUUACCAGCUAGAGUUUCCACCUGAGUUACCUGAUGUGCACAAUGUUUUCCAUGCAUCACAACCCUAGAAGUGUUUCCAACUUCCUGAUAAGCCCGAUCUCUACAAGGACAUCGAUCACCAAGCCACCGACCUCCAGCCCGAUCUAACCUACUUCAAGAAACCCAUUAGCAACCUAGAUCAAGCAGACCGUCAUACACGAAGCCACAUCAUCAAGUACUUCAAGGGUUAAUGGAGCACCACUCGGAAGCAGAAGCAGUAUGAGGACGUGAAGACUACCCCGGAUCCAAGUUUCCGUAUUCCUUUCCACGCCUAGUUUGGGAAUCUCGGGGACGAGAUUCUUGUAAGGGGGGUAGGUCUAUCACACCCUGAUUUUCAAGCCACACCACUUAAGCUAAUCAAUCAUGAUAAAUUGUGGUUUGACAAAAACUUUUGAAUGUUUGGUCUUUGCUUGAUUUGAUUUGUGUCUACUGUUUGCAAGUGCUCUAAAAAUCAAAUAAAUCCUCCAACUCUUAUACCCCUUCUCCUUGAUCCAAAACCUUGCCCAAUUAUCAUGCCAUGUGUAUAGGAUAGAAUAGUAUUUUCUUACAAAAAUAUUUUGGCCAAAAAGUAUUUUCUAAGUUAGGUUUUCCAAAAACCCCUAAAUUGAGCUUGAACUACAAGUACUUAAUUAAGGGUGUGAAAAAUCUUUCAAAAAAUAUAUUUGAAUCCUAUUCGAUAUAUGACACCCAGAAACUAGAAAAAUAUAAUUUUAAAAGUUAUUUUCCUAUUUUAUUUAGAGGAUUUUUCUUAAGGGCAGAAAUGGUCUUUAAUAGAUUAAAAUUAUUUUAAUGUUUCAAAAAUAUUUGAGAAAAUUUAGGGAGACUCAAUGGGCAUAUAGUGUCCAUAUAUAUAUGACUUUCAACACAUGGUCAUGAACAAAAUAUUGGUCAAAUCCCUCAGAAACCCUUCCUGGACAUUUCAAGCUUUUGAAAUAUUUACAUAGGAAAUAUUAUCUAUUAAAUCCCAGAAUUAUACCAUGUCAUAAAUGACCUACUUGAGGAUCCUACAGAUUAUCAUGUCAUGGGGGACAGCAUAGCACCACCAAACAUGUACAAGUGCUCUAAAACUUGGUGCACAUUCUCAAAUGGUGUAAUAAUGCAUCUAUGCCAAAUGGCACAAGUUGGAGAGAAUGAUAUCAUGAUCAAAGUGUUCUAAAACCCUUUCUGUCUAGAACCAAAUUUGAACAACUCUACAUUGCCAGGUGUGUCCUUUUCAUCUGAAUUUUUGUGGACAUGUUCAAAUCCUCAAAUUAGGACACUAAACCAAGUGGUGCAUCAAGGAGAAUAGAUUUGCAUGACUAAAUCCUGGAAAAGCCAUUUCUGUUGAUUUCUAGGGUUUACAAAAGUUGCAUUGGAAACUUUGCCCAAAUGAGCUCAAAAUUGGUGGAAGGGCCUAAUUAUAUGUGCCGUUUCACCCUAUGGAGUCUCAUGUCUAUUGGAAUCCACUUGUUUGUCCAAAACAACAUCAAGCACCUUCUGGCACUUUGCCAAAACUACCAUUUGGACCACUUUCACUAUUCCCCUCUACCUCAAAUUUUUACCACAACUUAUUCUAACCCUAUUCUACCUCUAGUAAGUCUUUCCCACUCCCAUAUCAAUCAUGGAGUAGGGUAAAACCCUACUUUCUCUCUCUCUCUCUCUAUCAACCCCACCUCUCUCCUAGUGGUUCACCAUGGCAUCCAAGGCCACCUCCCCUUUGUUUACUCACCGCAAAAAGCCCCAAACACUAGUGGACACGCCCCUGGCACAUAAACAAUGCCAUGGCGUGUAGCGCUCACGCUCUGGAGCAUGCUAUAGUGCUCUCCGGCACUGUAGCACGCCCAUUCCAGGGCCUCCGGUCGACCUUGGUGCCGGAAUCGUGUCCCCGGAGGCCGCCUCGGCGUCCACGACACGCAACACUCUCGGACCCUUCCUCCCUCGCCCUCCUUCUCCCUCCAUGAGCUCACCUGAGCACGUCCAUGGACGCUGCCCAUGAUGCACUGCGGCCUCGCCCAUUUUAAGCCACCCCGACCCUCUCUCUCGCCUCGGUUCGAACCUCCUCUCUCCCGUGCACCUCUCGGACACCCCCUUUCUCCCCCAUGUGCCCUCCUGCCCCCUCCAAGGCCGGGUCGCCGCCGCCAUGCCCCCGGACCAACCCAGCCCCCCAUUGCUUCCCCGCUCCCACUGAACGCUCGAGAGGACACCCACGACACCAAGGAGCCUCCCCCGCGCACCAGGACCUCCUCCCCGUGCUUGCCUGCCCCGCUGUGCCGAACCUCGCUGACGGCUUCCUCCACGGCCACCCGAGCCAUCGGCGCAACAGCCCUCCUCGGCGUGCGUGAAGCACAUGGAUGGGUGCGGCGUGGCUUCCUGAGCACAGUGGUGGGCGGAGUGUCACCGUAAAUGCUCUGUAGCCCCGGCAAUCGCCGGCGGGAUCCGCUCAUCCCCGCGGCCAGAGCACGUGCGGGAGGUGGAAUAAGACCUGCCGCUCGGGCCCGCACGUCAGCGACCCAGCACGCGGGCCUGUCCGUUUAAGUGGAUACGGCUCCAGCGGAUCCGCUUCCCCGCGCGGAAGCGUACUGCGCAAAGGCGCCUUCGACACCGCCCUGUCGUCCACGUGGCCGAGCCGCUGGGCUGGCCCAGUGCGCUGCGACGCUAUUCUGCGCUCGGUGCACGGUAUAGGUAUGACCCCCACUUCCAUUGUCUUUUUCUUUUUCCAGAAAUUUGUAAAAUCUCCCAAAUAUUCAUAUUAACUCCAAAUUGAAUGAUUCAAAUUUCUUGUGACUUCAUAAAUCAUGCUCUACCUGUUGGUGCAGCAUGCACAUUUUCCAGAACACCUCUCUUCACACAAAUCCAAUAAAACCCCAUCUCCCAAUUCUGCGAUGAACUUUAGAAAAUCACAGAGAGCUCACAAUUUAUCCAAAUGCCAUGAUUCAAAAUCCUAUAAACUUCCAAGUUCAUAACUUAGUUUUUCAACAUUUUUCCUAAUACUUUCUAUGCCACAUGAAAUAAUGAGCCAUUUCCUCAUAUUAGCCAGCUGUGCAAAUUCAUUUGAACUCCAAAACCAGUGAAACCAACUCCUAUAUGCUUCUAAAAUUAUUCCUUGUUAAAUGGAUGCCUUUGAUCAUUUUUCAAAUAGUUCUUCUGUACACUUCUUACAAAUCCAUAAACCCCUUGAUUCCAUCAUAUCGAAAUGUUUAGAAAUAUCCAUUGAUCCACUUCCAAUGAAAUCACCUAGGUCAUUCCUCAUAUGACAAUAGGUAUCCUAGAAAAGUCCAACUCACAUUUUUAGAGCACUUUUAUUUUUGCCUUGUUGUGUUGCUUAUUGUGAUUGUUUCCGUCGUUAGUUGGCGAAGUAGACGGAGUACUUGGAGAUGGACCAGAAGGUUUGAAGACCUUGAAGGACAAGGCAAGCAGCCCUUUGACCAUAUCUAAGAAACCCUUUUAUGCAUGUCAUAUGGCACUAUCAUUGAUUGCAUCGAAAUGAUGAUAAAAUGGUGUCCACUUGAGGUGGUUUGCCUCCGUUGCUUUCCUCGUUGAUACUUGCAUGGUGCAUGACCCUACCUCCUUAUGAGGGUUAUGCCGGUGGGAGUAAGUAGGAUGCUGGAGUAGUUGCUACGCAAAAAGGGACGGGAAUAUGCAUGGUGAUGAAGGCAAAGUAUUUUCAAAAGACUUUUUUGAAAACCCUGUCGGGUGGCACUUAUGCCCGAGGGAGAUAAUGAGUGGGGUAACGACGAAGUGGUGUACUAAGGCAAGUGUGUGUGUUGUUUUUGAAAACGGAUUAGAUUUAAGAUUUGUCGACUGUCCCAACCUUACAUGCGCAACCACUCUACCCUUAUAUGGGAAAGGGCAUUAUUGAUUACCUAGGCCGAUACUAGCUUGGAGCCCGCAUUACUAGUGACGGGGGAGAGUUGGUGCUCUCUCUCGGGACGGGGUCGUGCCAGGUAGGGCGGCCAUGACUGUUUUUACUGGGCACCGGACACACCGUUGGUACCCCGUGCUUGUGGUAUGUGAUAAAUAUGGGAGCGAGGCUCCGCAAUUUUAAGAUGUGAAAUGGUGGGCACGGGGGUUACUACCAAUCGAGUGGACUCUAUGUUAGUGUCGUCUAGGGAAAGAUAGUGAUCGGGUGCUUACCCCGGGCACUUGAGGUACCGCAGGUCGUGGAUGACACAGAAGUUCCCCGGAUCUUGUGGGUAAAGUGUGCAACCUCUGCAGAGUGUAAAACUAUUCGAAUAGCCGUGUCCACGGUCAAGGACAGUUGGCGGUGCUGUUUAAACUACGUCCAGAGUUUUACAAACCGUGUGUGUGUGUUGAUAAAACUAUUUGGGGUAAAGUCAGAUGACUUGACACAAUGAUGAAGUUGGAUUGGUGUCCAACGCUGUUUAUGUUGAUAUCUGUAACUUGUUCAUACGGAUAUCUGUACUCUCAUGAUGCAUACUUUACAGGUUGAUUGAUCAUGUCAUUGCACUCAAAACUAGCUUUCUGCAAACUACCUACUUAGUGCUAUAUCAUUGCAUUAUUGUGCCUUGUUCCAAUCAUGGGUUGCUUGCGAGUACAUUCAAAGUACUCAUUGGCUUGCCACUGGUUAUUUAAUUGGCCAGGCAUGGAAGAAAAGGAGUUCGAAUAAAAGUUCUUUGGAGACGAACAUGCGAACUAGGUCGUUUCCCAGUCAGAAUGCCUGUAGGGCUAAGGCAGAUGGCAUGGGUUCUACUUAUCGACGAAGAUUUCCGCUGCUUAAGUUUAUUUGGUAUUCAGCCCUUGUGGUUUUAUCUAUGUAAGACUUGACCAUAAUGGUCAUAAUUUGUGUAAGACGGUAUGUAUGGAUGUAAGACUCUUGUUAUUCAGCUUCUCUGUGUUCAGUGAGUAUUGAUCUCUGGGAUCACUGCACACGUGCAUUCGGUGAUCAUGACUUAUGAGCCAGGGUCCCCACACGCCCGCCUGGUGUCGAUCGUCAUGGCUCAUGUCACGAGAGCCUCGCGAGGUUCUCCCUGCCUUGAUAUCUCCGCUCCUCACGAGGCAGCCUGGUGAGUCCACUCCUGAGGAGGUCUUGCGUCGUCCGCCUCAUGAGGCUUGGCCCCUCGCGAGGGUCUUGAAUGCCUUGUUGAUGAUGAUGGGCCGUACAGACCUGGCAGCACAGCCACGCCAUGGGCCGCAGGCAGGCAAGUCUGGGGACCCCCAUUCCUAGAACGCCGACAGUAGCCCCCGGGCCCAAGGUGCGCUCGGGCUUGGCUUCGAGGCGAAGCGAAAGGAUCAAGCGCGGAGCGCCGUGGGCCCCCAAAAGCCUGCGGCCUCGGUUGACGCAUGGCGUUUGAUUGGUCGUGGGCGUCUCCGCUUCCCCAUGUCACCUCGACAACUGCUCGAUUUGACAAGUACGUGCGACAUGCAAGGAAAAUCAUCAUUACAUGUGAUCGUGGGAGGUGCCGGUUGGCCUUCUUCCGCUAUAAAUGGGGAGGGGGGCGGAGCCCCCGUCGCCCAUAUCUUCUUGGUUCACUUGCUUCUUCCUCCUUUCUCCACCGCUUGCACCAAUGGCGCCCAUCCGAAGGUUCUCCGCCGAAGAGAAAGGAAAGGCCCCCCGCGAUGAUCCAGAGCCGCUUCCAUCGAAGAAGGGGUCGGUUCACCGUCGCGAUGAAGCGUCGAUGCAGGUGGUGACGAGGCCCUGGUGCGUGCGGCCUCCUCCAGGGUAUCCGCUACCCUUGUACGCACGAGCCGAGGGCUUAGGAGGGCGUAGCGACGAGCGACGCCGCCCGCGCCACGGCCGUGGUCGUCGCGCCGCGGGGACACACGUCGUCACCCCAGGGGUCCAUGCCGCGGACUCAUCGCGUGAGUUCGUGCUGUGGGCGGUGAUGCCACCAAGCACCUGGAUACGCCUCCCACCGUUAUUCACCGCCGAGGUGCCGCCGACGGGUGUUUGCGAACUUUGGCUGCAGCAUGCUGACUGCAACGCCCCGGCAACCGGAGUGGAGAUUGGAACCGUCGCCUCCGGGAAGAUCUUCAUGACCCGAGGCUGGGGUGAGAUUGCCCGGGUCUGCCAUGCGGAGGGCGCCCUCGCGAUCCACUUCGAGUAUGAUGGCGCUUCCGUGCUGUUCUUCAAGGUCUUCGACGAGGAAGGCUGCCGCCUAGAGUGCUGCCCCGAAGGAGGUCACCAGGACGAUGUCGCGGUGGGCGCGUGGCCCUCCACUGGUCUAGCCUGCAGCUCCUCCAGUGACAGCGGCGACUCGUGGUGGUCCAGCGACUCUCCUGAGCCCUUGAAGUCUCCGGAGACGAGUGACGACAUCUACGUGCCGCCAAGCUCCAGCCGGGCUCAGAGCAGGGUCGCGGCAUCCAGCCGCCGCCGCUGAUCUGAAUGGGGUCGGCGACGGCCUCCCAUGGCACACUGUUGAUGAUGGCGUCCGCCACGGGAGGGUGUAGAUAGGAUUCCUCUUAGUUCUCGUUCUGGUUCCCUAUGAAGAAUCAUGAAGUACCCCGUGGGGGCAUGUAAAGGGUCUGUAAUGUCUUUUGCGUAUAUAUGGUCCUUGUUAUUGAAUUGCGUGGGCGCAUAUCCUGCCGAGGCUCGACCUCCCCUUUCCAAUCCAGCGGUGGCUUGAUACUCUACGCUGACAGGUCCCGGUCCCUAGGCAGGCUGUAGCCGUCGCUGGUAUGCCAGGUCGUGAUGCUGUGGUCAAGGCCAGGAGGUGAGCGGCCCGAGGUCCAGUAAGAGCUCCUGAGGCGCGAUGCCCAGGAGGUCCCCUUUAGCGCUCAAGUGGCUGCCUUAGAAUGGGAAAGGAAGAGAGUAUCGCCACAGCAGGGCAGCGGAAGGAGUAAGGCCCACUUGGGCUCAGUCUCCCCUUUCUAUCCUCGUGACAGCUUGGUGCUCUACGCUGACAGGUCCCGGUCCCCAGGAAGGCUGCAGCCGUUGCUGGUAUGCCAGGUCGUGAUGCCGUGGUCAAGGCCAGGAGGUGAGCAGCCCGAAGUCCGGUAAGAGCUCCCGAGGCGCGAUGCUCAGGAGGUCCCCCUUAGCGCCGAAGCAACCGUGAAGAGGCAAGAAAGGGAGGCGACAUUGCCGCAACGGAGCCGCUGCGAAGGUCUCGUGUCGUGGCUAUAGGUGGGUUCCGUGUGUGAAUUUAUCUGGUCUUCCUGGAGUAUACUCCUCGUGGCACGCCCGGGCUCGCGCGUUGGUCGCUGUAGCGUAGCCAUGCCAGGCCCGUGCCGGUUUCCCCCUUCCCUCCAUGCUCUUCUUGGUGCUCUGCAUCCUCAGGUCCCAGCCCUCGAGCGAGCUCAGCCACCGCUGGUAUGCCAUGUCGCGAUGUCGUGGUCAAGGCCAGGGGUGAGGGCUAGAGAGCCAGUAAGAGCUCCUGAGACGCGAUGCUCAGGAGCCCCCCUUUUAACGCGCAAGCGAAUCGCAUGAGAGAAGAAGGAGAGUCUGUGGUACCGCCCUCCAUGAUCCUCAGGGAGCCCCUGCAAGUUAACGCGAAGAAGGGCGCCGGACCGUUGGUUUGCUUCUGGAGCGGGCGAGGGGACUCCCUACUGCAGAGAGCCCCCGGGGCGUGUACAGCCCCACCCUGACACGUGGCUGGCACGGUAGCAGGACCGCCGGAGAAGCUUCGACAUGAGGCGGGAGGCCAAAAAGGAAUCGACAACUGCAGGCGGCGGCGGCGGCGAUUUUGGGCAAAAUCAGCGGGAGGCGGAGUUGGGCGGACAACAGGCGGUUGCAUGGAAGGAAAUGGAAAGGCAUUUGGGCGGUUGGCACGCGACCGUGAAUUUUACAUCUCGAGUCGGCGGAGAUGCAAAUUUGCAACGAGAGGUGUUCUAUUUUACAUCUCUGGGAGUCGGAGAUGUAAUUUUUUUUGCAUCUACAUCAUCUGUUGAAGAGGCGGUUUUGGGCUCUAAAGAUGCAAAACUUAGGUAAUUUUGCAUCUACAUUUUCUAUUGGAAAUGCUCUGAAUAAUAAAAAAUAAUUCUCAUACAUGUUGUGGUGGACCUUUGAUGAUGUGGCAUGUGUGCAUGUUAAGAUUAAAAAAACACUAGUAAGGAUGUGAACUAUUUAGGUAUAUAGGAUAAGUUUCAAUCUCAUAUUAUUGUACGUAUUGAUUAUGCAGAUUUGAGGAACGUUUCAAAUUUGUCAAAACCACUAACUAUGGAAUGUUUGACUAGGCCAAACAUAAAUAUGAAUUAAUAGGAUGUUAUAUUUAGCGUAUUUGAUGGGGCGGUUGAUGGAAUGAUAACUAGGAACAAAAUAAAUGCAAUUAAAAUACGAUUUUCUUUGAUUUCGUUGGACAACAUAUAUAAUACACGGCCAGGGCCUCAGUCUGCACGCACUUCCCCAUUCCUCAUUUUCCUAUAUCGAUACUACAAUUUAUAAGCAACAGUUAGCCAUGGCCAUCCAGCAUCUGCUCCUCAUCGUCUUUCUGGCUUCCGUCCUCCAAGCGACCACCUCCGACACAGCGUACGACCUUUUGGAGAAAAACAAAUUCCCGCGGGCUCUCCUGCCUCAGGGUGUGAAGUCGUACGUGAAUCAUGGAGGCGCCGUUGAGGUGACCCUCCCCGCCUCCUGCGACUUCAACGUUACGGUUGCCGGUGGAUCACACAAGAUUCGGUUUGACAGCAUAGUCAGUGGGGUUAUCCAGCCCGGAUCCAUAACUCAACUGGGCGGCGUGAGGAUCCAGUUUGAGUGGGAUUUUCUUGCAUUCCACACGGUUCAACGCGUCGGUGACAAGCUCAGGUUUACUGGUAGUGAGCAUGCAGCCACGUUCGACCAGUCAUUUCCGGUUAGCAACUUCGUGCAGAGCCCCAGGUGCAGCUAAGGGCCUGAUUGAUUAGGGAUGCAUCGCACGCAUGCUUUACUAUAAAUGUAUGCAAUAUGCAUGUGUCUUUGUGAGUCCGUUGCUUUAUGUAGAAUGAAUAAAUUGAUUAUGUAAUCAGUCAUGGUUCCAAGACCUAAUAUUAUUGUGAUGAUCAUUUUUUGCCCAGUUAUUUAUUGUAAGAUGUUGCAAUGGUUCCUCCUAACCACAGGAACUAGAAAUUCCACAUGAUAUACUCUGUCGGAGUCUCGCAGGUAAUUAGAAAUAAUCUUGAUCUACAUAGCAUCGAGUGUUUGAUAAAAAACUACCACUUUAGAGAUAUCUGUCCCACAAAAGUACCACUUUUUAAAAAGUGACCAAAUACUACAAAAAUUUCUUAAUUUUGUGACUAAAAACUACCAGUUUCAGAUAAUGACGAGUUUAAAUGAUUUAAACACGUUUAUGACAUGAAGGGCCCACUAGUCAAGGUUGACGUGCGGCAAAGUCAACUCCGUUUAUUUUGACCGUCGAGUUGACCGUUAUUAUAGGUGGGGCCACACAUCAGCGCCCUGGUCAGCGUCUACAUUCUUCUUCCUCCCUCUUUUAGGCAUUUCAACGAACAUCUUGUACUCGAAACAAAAUCAAUCGAUGCUGCCGCUCGCCGAGGACCACCUCCUCGCGCCCCGGUGCAUCGAGUCGCGGAUCCACAUCACGUUGCACGAGUAGCAGUAGCAUGCAGCGGGGUGGCAGAUGUGGUAGACCAGCGACCGCCAGACCCAGCAGCGGAAGGCGGUGAAGGUAUGCGCCGAAGCCCCAGGCGUCCUCAAGCACCAUCAUCACCGAGGCUACGCACCACACCGCGCCGACGUGCGCAGCCCCGGCAAAGUGCACAAUGCCUCCCGGCAGCAGGGCCUCCUGCGUGGAGCCGAGGAGGAGGAGAAAGGCGUGAAGGCAAGUGGUUGUGAGGUGCCCGGCAACCUUGCGCCCGGUCCAGACAAGGCGCGCGGCGCUGCGGGAGUUGCCUCAAAAGACGAACAUGACGGACUUGGCGAGGAAUGUGAGGACGGUGUGGACAUCACGCCCGAUUGAGCGGGCGUCACGGUCGGCGUCACCGUCGCCUGUCGUCGACAUAGAGCGCGAUGACCCGCACACACACCUCGUCCUCCGAGAGCGAGCGCGACGCUCGUGGAGGUGCCUCUGCUGUUGACCAGGAGGCAGGCACGGCGCCAUGCUCGGACUUCCAUCGCGUCUGUGUUGAAUGCGGCCGUGGCGGCCUCUUCGUCGCUCACUCUCAUGGCCGGCAGUCAGAGCAACUCCAAAGGGCCGACCCAUUUCGUCCGCCUGCGUCCGUUUGGGUCAGCACGGACAAAAGUGGCGGCCUAACGCGCCGACCCAAACCCAAAUCACGUCUGCGUCAUGUCCGCGCCGACGCAUUUGCGGCCCAAAUUUGUGCCCCAAAUGCGUCAGCGCGGACAUCGAACGGACGCUUCGCGCGCCUUCUCGCUAUCCGCCGCGUCCCCACAUGGCGGCUGUCCAACUACCCGCUGCCCACGCGGUCAGCUUAAUUUAUGAUGACGGGCCCACGCAUCAACGAUGGCGCUCGUCCUUUUUUAUGCCGACCGUGCGGCGGGGCCGUCCUCAUCCAAACUCGCCGUCCACAUCUGCCCACCUUUGCUCCCUCGUCGCCGGCAAACCCUAGCCACCACAACCACAGCGAGAUGGGCCUCUUCUCCGGCGCCAGCGGCAGCAAGGCCAAGGGCAAGUCCCCCGCCACCCCUUACCUCGAGAUGGGGCGCCAGCGCCGGCUGGCAGAGGAGCGCCGUCGCGAUGAGUACGAGGAGAUGCUUGAGCGCGACCUCGAGGAGGAGCAGCGCGAGGCCGAGGAGGAGGCGCGCCAGGCCGCGGCUGCACAGGCGGCCACACACCCCCCGGCACUGCCUGCACCGGCACAGCCCGACAUGACGGCACUCUGGAACACGGUGUUCCCCUGGGCCGGGCCGGCGCCGACGCUCAUCAACCUCAUGGACCCCGAGGACGACAACGACGCCUAGGGCAGCGCGCCGCCUCGUAGUUUAGGUUGUUUUUAGUUUUUUAAAUGCAAAUGCAGGCGCGUGGACUCUCGCCGGCCUUCGUGGCCAGCUUUAAUGUUUAAUUAAUGUUGUUUCUCUUUUUUUAAUAUGCAUGUGUUCAUUUUUUGGCGCUGUCAAAAUGGGUCUCAGGCCAGCGUUGGGCGCACGCGCCGACCCAAAUGCAGAAGCUAGCAUCCGUGUCCGUCUGGCCGACCCAAACAGACAAAAAGCGGACGAAAUCGCCGUCCGUUUGGUUCGGCCCGUUGGAGUUGCUCUCAGCUUCGCGUUCUCGACGGUGUCCAUGCUUUGUUCCAUCAUGCUGGCACAAACACUGGUGUUCGUUGAAAUGCCUAAGAGAGAGAAAAGAGGAGGAAGAAGAAUGUAGGCGCUCACGUGUGGGCCCUGCCUGUAAUAACGGUCAAUUUGACGGUCAAAUUGAAUGGAGUUGAUUUUGCCGACACGUCAGCCCUGACGAGUGGGUCCCGCAUGUCAUAAACGUGUUUAAAUCAUUUAAAUUCGCAAUUAUCUGAAACUGGUAGUUUCUAGUCACAAAAUUAAGAAAUUUUGGUGGUUUUCGGUCACUUUUUAAAAAGUGGUAGUUUUGUGGGACGGAUAUCCCUAAAGUGGUAGUUUUUUGUCAAACACUCACAUACCAUCAGAUCCAAGGGUGUCCGAUGGGUUGUAAAAUAUCACAGGGCUUACUGGAAAGUAGAAGAGCAAAACAACUCAGUCCUAAUGUGUCCUUCCUCCGUUCCUAAAUAUAGGUCUUUCUAGAGAUUUCAACAGGUGACUACAUGCGAUGCAAAAUAAGUGAAUCUGGAUUCUGAAAUAUGUCUAUAUACAUUCGUAUAUGGUAGUCCAUUUCAAAUCUCGAAAAAGACUUAUAAUUAGGAACGGAGGGAGUAAUAUUCUUUAUGAUAUUUGACAUUAACAACCACUAAAAUAAGAAAGGAGAGCAAGGUAUAUUUGAUCUUUCAUUCCCCAUGCAUUGUAAGUUCUACAUGUUAAGGCUGGUCGUAAUGGUAGUAUCAUAGGUAGUUUCACGUAUGUCAACUAGACAAAUUUGAUGAGGUGGCACAGAAUUAAAUGAAGAAAAAGAGGGUUGAGUAUCAUAUCAUGAUACCGUAUCAUGUUGAAUGAUGUGCUACUAUGUGUAAUGCAUGGCAAUAAAUGAUGUUAGCUAUGAUACUAACAUAUAAUAGUAUCAUACACUAGUAUCAUAUGCAUUAUACUAAUAUAUGAUACUCGCCAUUACGGCCAGCCUAAUAAAUGCCUAGACUCUUAUUUAGUUGAUUUGCAGAAUGUUCUCUAGAAAUAAUCACAGCAUUUCUCUAAAAAAGAUAACAUUGCUGAAAAUCAUGGAAAAAACAUCAGCAAUCUUUGUUCUUUUAGGGGAUCAGCUAUAUUUGACGGCAUGCAUAAAGUAAGUAUAUUCCAAUAUUCAGUGAGCAAAUCCCCAAGUAGUAAUUGCUGGAAUUUAGUUUACUGGAAUUUAGUUUAUUUUGGGCAGCCCAAUAACUAUUUCAAAAAUUCCUAAUAAAUCCUAGAGGCCCACUUAGCCUACUUGUGCAAGGCAAGGGAUACUACUAAAGUUUAGUCCCACAUUGCUAGUUUAGUGGGAGUUGGACCUCCUUAUAAGGGAGGUUCUUUCCCCACUUGUACGAGCAUGAGAACAAGAGUGAUAUCCACGCGCGCUCCUCCGCCGCCGCCCGCCUCGCCACGCCACGCCUCGCCACGCCACGCCUCGCCAUGAGCCGCGCCGCGGGUUGCGGGAAUGAGCCGAGCAGAUAUCUAAAUUUUUACCACGCACUAUGGGCAUAUGAAAGGUCACACGGAAGCUGAAAAGAUUUUUGCGAAAGUGGAGUUCGAAUGCGAACGGUGCAGCCCUUCGGCUGCUGGCUGUUCGCUUCGCCUCCGUCUCUUUGUUUCGCCUUCCGUCGCUGCCCUCUCGCCUCCUUCUCUUGCGCCUAUAAAAGGAAGGUCGCUCCUCCCAGAGAGAUGCACCAGAACUUCUCCUUCCUCUCGCCAUCGGUUCCAUCUCGGAGCUGUUGUUGUCUUCCUCAUCCUGGCUUGCAGCGUGCACCGCACAUCGGCACAGUAGGCCUCCGAAACCGCACCUCUUUGAGUCAUGUACGGGAGAAGGGUGAUAAGGUUUUUGGGGAGCUCUCUGCGCGACUACUGACUGACUCCUUCGUCACGGACGCCCGGACUCCGACGACUACUUCCCCGACGUCGACAACCUCCUCGACGACAUGGCUGGCGCGGACACCGACCCCAAGUCCAGUGCUACUGCUGCUGCUGUCCCAUACGUGUUCUUCUUUCUGUUAGAUGUCCUGCCACAGUUUCUCAUACUAGUACUUGCUCUAGAUAUGUUAGGUUCUACUUCAUAUAUGCAACUAGUUCUAAUGUCUGCUAUAGAUAUGCUAGGCUACGGUUCAUAUAUGCAGAAGCUAUUUACCUUCUCUCUAUCAUAAAGCAUGACUUGUUUUAUCUCUAUUAUAUUAGUCAUGCUUUAUCUAGUAUUUCUGUUAAUAAAAUCAUUUGGUAAAUUGCUCAUAUUUCCAACAAUCCAAAAACCUUAUAAUAGGCAAUUUACCACAAGUGGUUUUGCUGCUUCCAUGAGACCUCCUAUGUUUGAGGGUAUCCACUAUAAGAGGUGGCGCGUGAGAGCAGUCUUAUGGUUUCAAACCGUGAGUUGCUAUGACGCCACUCUCGGCAAACCUGAAGGGGAGCUUGAUGCUCAACAGGCACAAGCCUUUCAGAAAAUGGAUACUUUGUUUAAGGCUGCUCUCUUGAGUGUUCUUGGUGAGAACAUAGUUGAUGCUUAUGCAUGAAUUGAUAAUGGAAAAGAUAUGUGGAAUGCACUCGAGGCCAAGUUUGGGGUCUCGGAUGCUGGCACUGAGCUGUACAUCAUGGAGCAAUUCUAUGAUUACAGGAUGACUGAAGACCGCUCCGUGGUUGAGCAAGCUCAUGAGAUACAGUCAUUUGUUAGAGAACUUGAGCACUUCGGUUGUAUACUACCGGACAAGUUUGUUGCCGGAGGUAUCAUCACUAAGCUUCCUCCUUCAUGGAGGAACUUUGCUACCUUGCUGAAGCAUAAGAGGCAGGAGUUUUCCGUCCCGGAUCUCAUUGGCACUCUUGAUGUGGAAGAAAAAGUGAGAGCAAAGGACACACGUGCUCGAGGUAUUGAGGGAGGAUCUAUUGCCAAUGUGGUACAGAAGCAGAACUUCCAGCCCCACAAGUUCAAGAACAAGGGCAAGUUUGAUGGUAAAGCAAAUUUUGAUGGGAAGAACAAGGCUGUCCAGCACAAGAACUUCAAGAAGAAGAAUGACAAGAAGAAAGGUGUCUGUCAUGUGUGUGGGGAUCCUGAUCAUUGGGCUCCUAGUUGCUCUAAUCGCUAUGACAAGCGUCAUCCUGGGAAAGGCAGCAAGACCGCUAAUGUUGUCAUUGGAGACACUGACAUGAAGGAUGCUGGGUAUGGUAUAUUUCCCACUAUUCUUUCAGUAUGUCAUUCUCCUGAUUGGUUGAUUGACACGGGUGCUAAUGUGCAUGUAUGCGGUGAUAUUUCCAUGUUUUCGUCUUAUCAGACCGCAGGGACUUCAACCGUGAUGAUGGGCAAUGGUUCAAGUGCUUCUGUUCGUGGUGUUGGCACGGUCGAUCCGAAGUUUACUUCGGGGAAGAUCGUGCGGCUGAAGAACGUGCAUUAUGUCCCCGCCGUCAAUAAAAAUCUUGUUAGCGGAUCUCUUCUGUGUAGAGAUGGCUACAAGCUUGUUUUUGAGUCGAAUAAAUUUGUAAUAUACAAGUAUGGAACCUUUGUUGGUAAAGGCUAUGAGUCAGGAGGCCUGUUUCGUUUAUCCUUAUCAGACGUUUGCAAUAAAGUUAUUAAUCAUAUUUGCAACAAUAGUGAAUCAAUUGUGUGGCAUUCACGUCUUUGUCAUGUUAACUUUGGUUGCAUGUCGCGACUAGUGAAGUUGAACUUAAUCCCUAGUUUCACCACUGUCAAGGGAUCUAAGUGGUAAGUGUGUGUGCAAGCUAAGCAACCUCGUAAGUCUCACACGACUAUGGAAACGAGAAAUCUUGCACCACUAGAGCUCAUACAUUCAGAUCUAUGUGAAAUGAAUGGUGUUUUGACAAAAGGUGGAAAGAAAUAUUUCAUGACGUUAAUUGAUGACUCCACUAGAUACUGUCGUGUGUAUCUUCUGAAAUCUAAGGAUGAAGCUUUUAACCUUUUCAAGAUCUAUAAAGCUGAAGUGGAAAACCAACUUGAUCGAAAAAUCAAGAGGCUUAGGUCCGACCGUGGUGGAGAGUAUUUUUCCAAUGAAUUUGAUGCUUUUUGUGUGGAACAUGGUAUAAUCCAUGAGAGUACACCUCCCUAUUCACCUUAGUCAAAUGGGGUGGCUGAAAGAAAGAACCAUACUCUAACAGAUUUGGUUAAUGCCAUGUUAGACAGUUCGGGUCUCUCCAAGGCAUGGUGGGGGAGGCGAUAUUGACUGCAUGUCAUGUCCUAAACCGAGUUCCCACCAAGAACAAAGAGAUAACUCCAUUCGAGGAAUGGGAGAAGAAAAGGUUAAAACUCUCUUAUCUACGAACAUGGGGUUGUUUGGCGAAAGUCAAUGUUCCAAUUCCAAACAAGCGGAAGCUUGGACCAAAGACUGUGGAUUGUGUUUUCCUAGGAUAUGCUUUUCAUAGCGUUGGCUAUAGAUUCUUGGUUGUAAAAUCUGAGGUACCUGAAAUACAUGUCGGUACGAUCAUGGAGUCGAAUGAUGCAACUUUCUUUGAAGAUAUCUUUCCCAUGAAGGAUAUGGCUACCUCAUCUAAUCAGGAGAUGCCUAGUUCAUCGAAUCAGGAAUCAGUUACAAUUACCGAACCUACCAUUUCGAUGGAACAAUUUGAAAGUCAUGUGGAGGAGAACAAUGAAGUUCCUAUUAGGAGCAAGAGACAGAGGACUGCAAAGUCCUUUGGUGAUGAUUUUCUUGUGUAUCUCAUAGAUGACACUCCCAGUUCUAUUUCAGAGGCUUAUGCAUCUGAAGAUGCUAACUACUGGAAGGAAGCGGUGUAUAGCGAGAUGGAUUCCAUCUUAGCGAAUGAAACUUGGGAGAUAACUAAUCGUCCUUAUGGGUGCAAACCUAUAGGAUGCAAAUGGGUAUUCAAGAAGAAGCUUAGUCCUGAUGGUACUAUUGAAAAGUACAAGGCUCGGCUCGUUGCUAAGGGUUAUACCCAAAAGGAAGGUGAAGACUUCUUUGAUACUUACUCACUUGUGGCUUGACUGACCACUAUUCGAGUUCUACUUUCACUAGCUGCCUCACAUGGUCUUCUCGUUCAUCAAAUGGAUGUUAAGACUGCUUUUCUAAAUGGAGAGUUGGACGAGGAAAUUUAUAUGGAACAACCAUAUGGGUUUGUACUAGAUGGUCAGGAAGGAAAAGUGUGCAAGUUGCUGAAGUCUUUGUAUGGACUCAAGCAAGCACCCAAACAGUGGCAUGAGAAGUUUGAAAGAAUUUUAACAGCCGCAGGCUUUGUUGUAAACGAAGCUGACAAAUGUGUGUACUAUCGCCAUGGUGGGGGCGAGGGAGUUAUCCUUUGCUUGUAUGUUGAUGACAUAUUGAUUUUUGGAACAAAUCUAAAUGUUAUUAAGGAGGUCAAGAAUUUCCUAUCUUGCUGUUUUGAGAUGAAGGAUUUAGGAGUGGCUGAUGUCAUUUUGAACAGUAAGUUGUUGAGAGACGAUGAUGGUGGGAUUACAUUGCUUCAAUCUCACUAUGUGGAAAAGAUCUUGAGUCGCUUUGGCUAUAGUGACUGCAAGCCCUCUCCAACACCAUAUGAUGUGAGUGUGUUACUUCGAAAGAAUCGAAGAAUUGCUAGAGAUCAAUUGAAAUAUUCUCAGAUUAUUGGCUCGCUUAUGUACUUAGCAAGUGCUACAAGACCUGACAUCUCUUUUGCUGUUAGCAAACUGAGUCGGUUUGUCUCAAAACCAGGAGAUGUGCAUUGGAAAGCUCUAGAGAGAGUUUUGCAUUAUUUGAAAGGCACUGCAAAUUAUGGAAUUCACUACACCGGGCAUCCAAAGGUGCUUGAAGGGUAUUGUGACUCAAACUGGAUCUCAGAUGCUGAUGAGAUAAAGUCCACGUGCGGUUAUGUAUUCACUCAUGGAGGUGGCGCUGUUUCUUGGAAGUCUUGCAAGCAGACCAUCUUAAUGAGGUCAACAAUGGAAGCAGAACUCACAACACUAGAUACAGCUACAGUUGAAGCAGAUUGGCUUCGCCGGCUCUUGAAUGACUUGCCGGUUGUUGAGAAACCUGUACCGGGUGUCCUUAUGAACUGCGACAGUCAAACUGUGAUCACGAAAGUGAGCAGCUCAAAGGAUAACAUGAAGUCAUCAAGACACGUUCAGAGAAGGUUAAAGUCUGUCAGGAAAAUGAAAAACUCCGGAGUUAUUGCGUUGGAUUAUAUCCAAACGUCUAAAAAUCUGGCAGAUCCUUUUACUAAGGGUCUAUCACGUAAUGUGAUAGAUAAUGCAUCGAGGGAGAUGGGUAUGAGACCCACAAUAUGAGUUGUUCAUAGUGGUAACCUAUUCUUUGUGAUCGGAGAUCCCGUGAAUUAGAUGUGGAAGACAAGCUGUUGGUCAACUGAGAGGAGAGUAUCCUUACUAUUCACAAUACCACUCCAUGAAGAUGCAAUACUCUCCUAAUCUACAUGGCAGGUUGAUGUAUACCUUAAUGUGUUCUAAGUGGCUUAUUUAAGCAGAGAUGUUAUCCUGCAGAACAUCUUUUGAAGAACACACCUAUAUGAGUCUGAUUGUCAAAUGUCGCAAUAUCUAUGAGAGUAGGGUUCUCUCUAGUAAACUCAUAAAAUGUCACGGAGUAUGACGCAUAAGCUCCAGCCGCGGGGAAGACCCACGGUAGCCACGUAUCGGUCAAGGCUUUAUGUUAAGCUAGAUUCGCAGAAAACUUGCACUUCAAGGCCCAGUCCACUGUUCAAGUUGCUUACUAGUGUAGCAUAGAGUUCUAGGUGAAAGUUCAACUUAACAGUCUCCACUGCAGUACCGAUAUAUAAAACAAUGUUUUGGAACCAAAGGCAAAUUUUUGUGUGCCUCUGGGAUCUGGUGGGGGAUUGCUGGAAUUUAGUUUAUUUUGGGCAGCCCAAUAACUAUUUCAGAAAUUCCUAAUAAAUCCUAGAGGCCCACUUAGCCCAUUUGUGCAAGGCAAGGGAUACUACUAAAGUUUAGUCCCAUAUUGCUAGUUUAGUGGGAGUUGGACCUCCUUAUCAGGGAGGUUCUUUCCCCACUUGUACAAGCAUGAGAACAAGAGGGAUAUCCACGCGCGCUCCUCCUCCGCCGCCCGCCUCACCACGCCGUGCCGCGCCGCGGGUUGCGGGAAUGAGCCGAGCCGAUAUCUAAAUUUUUGCCAUGCACUACGGGUAUACGAAAGGUCACACGGAAGCUGAAAAGAUUUUUGCGAAAGUGGAGUUCGAAUGUGAACGGCGCAACCCUUUGGCUGCUGGCUGUUCGCUUCGCCUCCGUCUCUUCGUUUCGCCUUCCGUCGCUGCCCUCUCGCCUCCUUCUCUUGCGCCUAUAAAAGGGAUGUCGCUCCUCCCAGAGAGACGCACCAGAACUUCUCCUUCCUCUCGCCAUCGGUUCCAUCUCGGAGUUGCUGCUGUCUUCCUCAUCCCGGCUUGCGGCGUGCACCGCAUGUCGGGACAGUAGGCCUUCGAAACCGCACCUCUUUGAGUCAUGUACGGGAGAAGGGUGAUAAGGUUUUUGGGGAGUGCUCUGCGCGACUACUGACUGACUCCUUCGUCACGGACGCCCUGGACUCCGACGACUACUUCCCCGACGUCGACAACCUCCUCGACAACAUGGCUGGCGAGGACACCGACCCCAAGUCCAGUGCUACUACUGCUGCUGUCCCGUACGUGUUCUUCUUUCUGUUAGAUGUCCUGCCAUAGUUUCUCGUACUAGUACUUGCUCUAGAUAUGUUAGGUUCUACUUCAUAUAUGCAACUAGUUCUACUGUCUGCUAUAGAUAUGCUAGGCUACGGUUCAUAUAUGCAGAAGCUAUUUACCUUCUCUCUGUCAGAAAGCAUGACUUGUUUUAUCUCUAUUAUAUUAGUCACGCUUUAUCUAGUAUUUAUGUUAAUAAAAUCAUUUGGUAAAUUGCUCAUAUUUCCAACAGUAAUUCCCAUUCAGCAACAUGGACGAUAAUAAUAUUUUCUUGUGAUCCGUAACAAAAGUUCAAAAUUAGCCAAAAUACUGAAGGGGGAUGUCCCGGUAGCUACACCAACUUUCUAUGGCCAGAAUCGGUGGAAUCGGAUGCGACGGCCCAAGAUUUGGUAGCAGACAUCCCGGACGGCAGGGUGGUGGCGGGGCUGAGAACGGCCGAUUGAGUCGCGGCGGUGGCAUGCGCUGCGACAGUCGGUCAGAGUAGGUGUGGCGACCGUCAGCGGUGGGGUAGUCUCAUCACGAGUGGUUGGGUUCCUGCUGCAUUGUUUUUGGUUUCAGCGCAGCUGCUAGAUAUGUGUAACAAAAUUUUGGGUAAUUUUCUUUUGCAACAUAUGGGUAUAUAGGGCAUCUUUUGGACACUUUUUGUUUGCCCAAAGUGACCUAACUGACAACUUUUUUGACACAACGGCUAUUUUAAAGAAAGCAUAUUAAGCUGAGUGUGCAGACCACCUAGCAAAGGCUGAUUUCACCUCGACGGGUUUGACACUCAGCGUAACGCACUCAGGGUACAUCAUGUCGGUCGACAUACCGACGUAAGCCGAGUGCCUUUGGUCCACUAGUAGAGAAAUGACAGAACAAAACAUCGUAGGGUGUGCGAUGGGUUGUCCGAUUGUGAAUUAUGUCUGGUGCUAUGUUUGCUUGUAAAAAAUGAGUAAUUGUAUAAUGUAGCACUUAUUUUAGACCUAGUCGAGCCCAUUCAUCGCACACGAUUUUGAAAGAGUGUGCAUUGGCACCCCAAUCGCCAACCCAUCCGAGCACACGAUUGUUAAUUAUAACCGUAUGUGAUGGACCCUUCCUAUUGCACAUAGUUUGUAUGUUCUAACUGUGUGUGAUGGACUCAAUAUCGCAUACAGUUUUUAUGCUCUAACCGCAGCCUAGGCUCGAGAUUAACCCAACGCGAUGGUUGAUGAACUAUGAGCAGGCCCUUCUACUAUGUUAGUGAUCACUAGUUUAAAUAGGUAUUAUACUUCUCUCUUAUCUCCUGGCUGGGAUUUGGAUGAUGGCAUCAGGCGGUGUAAUCGUGUAGCUAUGAUGGUGGACGGGCGGCUAGUUAAGAAACCAAUUUCCGCAAUUUCAAAUUCUAAUCCCUAGCAAUUCCUCUUGAUCGAGUGAGUUGCUCAUGGUUGGUAUAAGAUUCAGUGGUCCUAGAGUUGCCGCGACACCAUCACUGGACGCGGUGGCGUGAUCGGCGAUGAGCGGAGGCGAUGGACAAGUCGUCUGAGGAAGGGUGCAGCAUGUACGCGCUUCAACGAGCAUAUUGCACCAUAGGUCUGGACCGACUCUUCAAGGAUCACGAUGAGAACCUCCUUCAAGCGGUCGACAAUCUCAUCCAAUCCAACACUGCCACGCUCGAUGGCUUGCUUUCGGCUCAUGACCCAACAAUUAUAAUAGUAUGGAACAAUAAAAAAUUAUAAAUACGUUGGAGACGUAUCAUAAACCAACAAGAUCUAAAUUAAAUAUAUUGCUUGGAGUUGCUUUUAGUUUAGUUGCAUUGCACAAUUUUUUAAGAGAAGCGGAAGGUGGAGAGGUAGGCACAUGCUCCUCCGCACUCUUCAUUUUGGAUAUGGGUACUGAGCCUCUCUGACGGUCUGGGAGUUCAUGCUAUAACAUUGUGGAAAUUUUGACCGAGAUGUUAGGUAUGAGUCUGUGCUGGGCUAAGUAGGCAUCCUGAAAGAGAUGAUCUCCACAAUGAGGAGAUAAUCAUUCUAUGCACCGCAUACCGAUGUAAAACUCAAGUAUAUCUAAAUGAAAUAUUUCUUUCUUGCGGGUGUUUUAUGAUUUAGUUGCACUGCACAACAUUAUUUGAAGAGAAGAGAACCCUCAUUGGUACCAAAUCCAACAUAAAGGAUCAAACUGUUGGGGAUGUUGAUGUUUUCCCUUGAUUCAUUUUUAGGUUUUUGCAUAUGUUUCAUAUGUUGGCUGUGAAGUGCGUAAAUGAAUGUUGCUCUGAAAUUUCAAUUCAAUAUGCAGGUCUAUUAUGAGAUGCAAAGCUUUGUGCAAAUGAAUGAUGUAUGCCUAUGUUUAUUUGAAUGUUUACUUUCAAUUUCAUUCAUGUGACUAGUUAAGUAAUAAAAAAAUUGAGGAGUGUUUCAUCUGACUAUCAUUAGCCGGGGAGAGUUCCUAAAGAAAACAUUUAUACCCCUAACAUCUUCUUUUAGAAAGGAGGCGCUUGCUCGGCCUUAAAUUGAGGCCCUUAGAGCAUCUCCAACAGGCGCCGAACGCGCCACAUGCAAAAAACAGCUUUAGCGCGCGCCUAUCACCUGGUUUGGCGCGGUGCGCCGCGCUGGCUCCAGCAGCCGCGCUAAAUAUGCAGCACGCGCUACUCGCCGGUGCAUUUCAUAUGGCAUUUUCAACACAAAAUGAAGUUGAUGAACAUUUUCAACACAAUAAAAUUUCACACAAACAAGUUGAAGAAGAAAAGUUCAUGCCCACAAGUUCAAAAUCAUGACCACAAGUUCAUCCAACCAAGUUCAGAAUGCAAAUCAAGUUCAAUACACAAAUGAAAGACACAUCAUUCCUCGUCCUCGUCUUCGUCCUCGUCCUUAUCUUCGGAAGACGAUUCUUCCGCCUACGAAGAUGAAUCUUCCUCCCUCUCUUCAUCGCGCACCGCAUCACGUGAAGCUCCGACGGUGUUGGCAAGAUCUUCAACGGCAUCUUCAUGGGAAUGUGUGCGAGGAGGCACAUCGAAAGACAUUCCGCCCAUGGCGACCGGAGGUGCAUCCAUGCCUCCCAUGAGAGAAGCAAAACUCAUACCUCCCAUGGUGGCCAUACCGGGACCUAAGUGAUCGGUCGGAGCGGUCAAUUCCACUCACGUUGCGAACAUCAAAGUGUUCCUUCAUCCGAAGCCAAUAAGCAUCUCUACUUUGAUCACCUCCAACGGAUGGAUCCCUCGACACUUGCAACCAAGUAUUGCAUAGUAAGAUGUCAUCGGCGUUGCUGUAAUUGCCCGCUCUUCCUUUCGGUGUGUCGACAAUGACCUCACCCUCCUCGUCCACCUCGAACUCAUGGUUUUUGAAAUGCAUGUCAUUGGUUUGAGACCAAUGUGAAUUGUUGGAGCCAACACCCAUCGUUGACAUGUAUGCAUCAUCAUUGAGACUACAAAGUUUUUUGAACAAUGCAAAUAAGCUAUCUAUAUGUGAAUGCAUUCAAAAAAUAACAAAAAAAUGAAAAGUUGGAUUUUUUACCUUGGAGGCAUUUCGUCGAACAUGUUGUGCGCGCCGGUCGCCGGCUCAACGAGUGAGCUCGCCGGCGCUUCGGUAGCCACCGCGCCCGUCGCACGCCCCACAAGCUUCUUCCUCCUCGCCUUGGAGGUGUCGGAGCCGUCCGCCGCCUUGUUUUUCUUCGCCGAUGUCUUGCCCUUAUUUGGCCGCGCUGCAUUGGGGAGCUUUGAGGAGGAGCGGCGGCGGCUCGGGCCAGCGCCGGCGCGACGCCACCCGCCGCCGAGGUCAUCCGCGGCGGCAUGAAGAGGCCGCGCGCGAGGCCGAUGGUCGGAGGAGCUCCGACGGAGGCGAGGACAACGCCACCCAGGCUAGGGUUUGCGGCGGCGGCGGCGGGGGGUCGCGCGAAUAGGACGGGAUGAGUGGGGUUCCGGCACGUGCGUCCAUGGGGUGCGGGUGCCGGCGCUGGGGCGCGUGGGGCUUUGGAGGGAGAGAAUACAAAGCACAACGCGAGCACUCAAGUGUGCCGCGCGCGAAAGCGGGCGCCGCAAAUACACCACGCGAGGUAGCGCUUCCUGCCGCGUGCCCAACUCCUUAUACCGCGCGAGCGGUUAUUGCGCGCCCGCUGGAGCCAUCCGCCGGGUUGCGCGUGCGCUAAACUGGGUAUAUUUACGGCGCAGCACCUGUUUAGCGCGCCUGUUGGAGAUGCUUUUACAAAUCCACAAGUUCAAUUAUCCGAACAACAAAGUUAAAAGCAAAAGAUACAAGCCUACAGGCAGAAUCACAGCAGCGCAGCGCUGACAAGCCAACAAUAAGAAGGAAAUGGGCUAUCGAGGUAGCGAGGGGCGGUGAUGAGCCGGUGAUGUCCCCUAUGGUGGUCGGCGCAUCUCAGUGCACCUUGCUCGCACCUUUGUUACGAGCUCCUGCACGCGUCCUCUGUCUUGUGGUUUUGCCAGUAGCUUCCAAAGCUGCAAGAAAGACACCAUUUUGUAUAGAAGAUCAGCUGGAUGCUUGAUAAAAUGAACAUACAAAAUGAAGGUGGUUAUUCGUACGAAACUGCCUGUGGCAAGAAGGGAAUAGAAAGCGGGAUGAAAUCACAUGUGUUGUCCAUGAUAUUGGAGGCGGUUUGCACAACCGCCGACUUUGUGCAGAGUAUUAACGAAUCAGGCUUUGAGGAGGAAAUGAAACUAGUGUUGUAAUAUAUUCCAAAAAUAUUUGGUUCCAGGAAACAUUUGAAUUAAUAGUAUAUCAGAAAAACAUAAAAAACAUAUUAUAUAUAUUUGUCCAAUAUAGGUAGUAAAAUAAUAUAAUGGUUUUUUUCCCAUUCAUGUUGGGUGGGCCUUCGAUGAGGUGGCAUAUGUGCAUGGCUUAUAUGUGUAUGUUGAAAUAAAUAGAAUUAAUGAGGGUCAAUCCAUAAUAAAAAAUAAUUCUCAUGCAUAUUGUGAUGGAUCGUUGAUAAUGUGACAUGUGUGCAUGUUAAGAUAAUAGAAAUAACGAGGAUAAACUACUUAGGUAUGUAGGAUAUGUUUUCAAUCUCAUUUUAUGGUACGUAUUGAUUAUGCAGAUUUGAUGAACGUUUUGGCAAAACCAUUAACUAUAGAAUGUUCUAGGCCAGAAAUACAUAUGAUUUAAUGGGAUGAUAUAUUUAGCAUAUUUGAUGAGGCAGUUGAUGGAAUGAUAAUUAGGAACAAAAUAAAUGAAAUUAAAGUACGAUUGACUUCGAUUUCGUUGGGCAGCAUAUAUAAUACGUGGUCAGGGCCUCAGUCUACAUGCACUUCCCAGUUCCUCAUAUUCCUUGAUACAAUUUGUAAGCAGCAACAAUUAGCUAGCCAUGGCCAACCAGCAUCUGCUCCUCAUCGUCUUCAUAGCUUUCAUCCUCCAAGCGGCCACCUCCGACACAGCGUACGAACUUUUGGAGAAAAACAACUUCCCGCGGGCUCUCCUGCCUCAGGGUGUGAAGUCGUACGUGAACCAUGGGGGCGCCGUUGAGGUGACCCUCCCCACCUCGUGCGACUUCAACGUUACGGUUGCCGGUGGAUCACACAAGAUUCGGUUUGACAGCAUAGUCAGUGGGGUUAUCCGGCCCGGAUCCAUAACUCAACUGGGCGGCGUGAGGAUCCAGUUUGAGUGGGAUUUUCUUGCAUUCCACACGGUUCAACGCGUCGGUGACAAGCUCAGGUUUACUGGUAGUGAGCAUGCAGCCACAUUCGACCAGUCAUUUCCGGUUAGCAACUUCGUGCAGAGCCCCACGUGCAGCUAAGGGUGUGAUCGAUUAGGGAUGCAUGCACGCCUUUCAUAUAAUGUAGUAUCCAAUAUGAAUGUGUUUGUGUGAGUCCAUUGCUUUAUGUAGAGUGAAUAAACUGAUUAUGUAAUAAGUCAUGGUUCCAAGACGUAAUAUUAUUGCGAUGAUCAUAAUUUUCUUGCACAAUUAUUUAUUGCGAGAUGUUGCAACGGUUCAUCCUAAUCAUAGGAACAAGAUAUUCCACAUGAUAUACUCUGUCGUAGUCUUGCAAGUAAUUAGAAAUAACCUUUAUCUACAUAGCAUGAGAUCUAAGGGUGUGUGAUGGGUUGUAAAAUAUCAUAGGGCUUACUGGAAAAUAGAACAACAAAUCAACUCAAUCCUAAUGUGGUAUGCUAGGAUAUGGUUCAUAUAUGCAGAAGCUAUUUACCUUCUUUCUGUCAGAAAGCAUGACUUGUUUUAUCUCUAUUAUAUUAGUCAUGCUUUGUCUAGUAUUUAUGUUAAUAAAAUCAUUUGGUAAAUUGCUCAUAUUUCCAACAGUAAUUCCCAUUCAGCAACAUGGACGAUAAUAAUAUUUUCUUGUGAUCCAUACAAAAAGUUCAAAAUUAGCCAAAAUACUGAACGGGGAUGUCCCGGUAGCUACACCUACUUUUUAUGGUCAGAAUCGGUGGAAUCGGAUGCGCUGCCUAAGAUUUGGUAGUAGACAUCCCGGACGGCAGGGUGGUGGCGGGGCUGAGAACGGCAGAUUGAGUCGCGGCGGCGGCAUGCGCUGCGACAGUCGGUCAGAGUAGGUGUGGCGACCAUCGGUGGUGGGGUAGUCUCAUCGCGAGUGGUUGGGUUCCUGCUGCAUUGUUUUUGGUUUCAGCGCAGCUGCUAGAUAUGUGUAAGAAAAUUUUGGGUAACUUUCUUUUGCAACAUAUGGGUAUAUAGGGCAUCUUUUGGACACUUUUUGUUUGCCCAAAGUGACCUAACUGACAACCUUUUUGACACAACGGCUAUUUUAAAGAAAGCAUAUUAAGCUGAGUGUGCAAACCACCUAGCAAAGGCUGAUUUCACCUCGGCAGGUUUGACACUCAGCGUAACGCACUCAGCGUACAUCAUGUCGGUCGGCAUACCGACGUAAGCCGAGUGCCUUUCGUCCACUAGUAGAGAAAUGACAGAACAAAACAUCGUAGGGUGUGCGAUGGGUUGUCCGAUUGUGAGUUAUGCCUGGUGCUAUGUUUGCUUGUAAAAAAUGAGUAAUUGUAUAAUGUAGCACUUAUUUUAGACCUAGUCUAGCCCAUUCAUCGCACACGGUUUUGAAAGAGUGUGCGUUGGCACCCCAAUCGCCAACCCAUCCGAGUACACGAUUGUUAAUUAUAACCGUAUGUGAUGGACCCUUCCUAUUGCACAUAGUUUGUAUGUUCUAACUAUGUGUGAUGGACUCAAUAUCGCAUUCAAUUUUUAUGCUCUAACCGCAGCCUAGGCUCGAGAUUAACCCAACACGAUGGUUGAUGAACUAUGAGCAGGCCCUUCUACUAUGUUAGUGAUCACUAGUUUAAAUAGGCAUUAUACUUCUCUCUUAUCUCCUGGCUGGGAUUUGGAUGAUGGUAUCAGGCGGUGUAAUCGUGUAGCUAUGAUGGUGGACGGGCGGCUAGUUAACAAACCAAUUUCCGCAAUUUCAAAUUCUAAUCCCUAGCAAUUCUUGUUGAUCGAGUGAGUUUCUCACAGUUGGUAUAAGAUUCAGUGGUCCUAGAGUUGCCGCGACACCAUCACUGGACGCGGUGGCAUGAUCGGCGAUGAGCGGAGGCGAUGGACAAGUCGUCUGAGGAAGGGUGCAGCAUGUACGCGCUUCAACGAGCGUAUUGCACCGUAGGUCUGGACCGGCUCUUCAAGGAUCACGAUGAGAACCUCCUUCAAGCGGUCGACAAUCUCAUCCAAUCCAACACUGCCACGCUCGAUGGCUUGCUUUCGGCUCAUGACCCAACAAUUAUAAUAGUAUGGAACAAUAAAAAAUUAUAAAUACGUUGGAGACGUAUCAUAACCCAACAAGAUCUAAAUUAAAUAUAUUGCUUGGAGUUGUUUUUUAGUUUAGUUGCAUUGCACAAUUUUUUUUAAGAGAAGCGGAAGGUGGAGAGGUAGGCACCUGGUCCUCCGCACUCUUCAUUUUGGAUAUGGUACUGAGCCUCUCUGACGGUCUGGGAGUUCAUGCUAUAACAUUGUGGAAAUUUAGAUCGAGAUGUUAGGUAUGAGUCUGUGCUGGCCUAAGUAGGCAUCCUGAAAGAGAUGAUCUCCACAAUGAGGAGAUAAUCAUUCUAUGCACCGCAUACCGAUGUAAAACUCAAGUAUAUCUAAAUGAAAUAUUUCUUUCUUGCGGGUGUUUUAUGUUUUAGUUGCACUGCACAACAUUAUUUGAAGAGAAGAGAACCCUCAUUGGUACCCAAGCCAACAUAAAGGAUCAAACUGUUGGGGAUGUUGAUGUUUCCCCUUGAUUCAUUUUUAGGUUUUUGCAUAUGUUUCAUAUGUUGGCUGUGAAGUGCGUAAAUGAAUGUUGCUCUGAAAUUUUAAUUCAAUAUGCAGGUCUAUUAUGAGAUGCAAAGCUUUGUGCAAAUGAAUGAUGUAUGCCUAUGUUUAUUUGAAUGUUUACUUUCAAUUUCAUUCACGUGACUAGUUAAGUAAUAAAAAAAUUGAGGAGUGUUUCAUCUGACUAUCAUUAGCCGGGGAGAGUUCCUAAAGAAAACAUUUAUACCCCUAACUUCUUCUUUUAGAAAGGAGGCGCUUGCUCGGCCUUAAAUUGAGGCCCUUAGAGCAUCUACAACAGGCGCCGAACGCGCCGCGCGCAAAAAACAGCUUUAGCGCACGCCUAUCGUCUGGUUUGGCGCGGCGCGCAGCGCUGGCUCCAGCAGCCGCGCUAAAAUGCAGCGCGCGCGCCGAUCCAGCAGCGUGCAAAAAUGCAGCGCGCGCGACUCGCCGGUGCAUUUCAUAUGGCAUUUUCAACACAAAAUGAAGUUGAUGAACAUUUUCAACACAAUAAAAUUUCACACAAACAAGUUGAUGAAGAAAAGUUCAUGCCCACAAGUUCAAAAUCAUGACCACAAGUUCAUCCAACCAAGUUCAAAAUGCAAAUCAAGUUCAAUACACAAAUGAAAGACACAUCAUUCCUCGUCCUCGUCCUCGUCUUCGUCCUCAUCCUCAUCUUCGGAAGACGAUUCUUCUGCCUCCGAAGAUGAAUCUUCCUCCCUCUCUUCAUCGCGCACCGCAUCACGUGAAGCUCCGACGGUGUUGGCAAGAUCUUCAACGGCAUCUCCAUGGGAAUGUGUGUGAGGAGGCACAUCGAAAGACAUUCCGCCCAUGGCGGCCGGAGGUGCAUCCAUGCCUCCCAUGAGAGAAGCAAAACUCAUACCUUCCAUGGUGGCCAUACCGGGACCUAAGUGAUCGGUCGGAGCGGUCAAUUCCACUCACGUUGCGAACAUCAAAGUGUUCCUUCAUCCGAAGCCAAUAAGCAUCUCUACUUUGAUCACCUCCAAUGGAUGGAUCCCUCGACACUUGCAACCAAGUAUUGCAUAGUAAGAUGCCAUUGGCGUUGCUGUAAUUGCCCGCUCUUCCUUUCGAUGCGUCGACAAUGCCCUCACCCUCCUCGUCCACCUCGAACUCAUGGUUUUUGAAAUGCAUGUCAUUGGUUUGAGACUAAUGUGAAUUGUUGGAGCCAACACCCAUCGUUGACAUGUAUGCAUCAUCAUUGAGACUACAAAGUUUUUUGAACAAUGCAAAUAAGCUAUGUAUAUGUGAAUGCAAUCAAAAAAUAACAAAAAAUGAAAAGUUGGAUUUUUUUACCUUGGAGGCAUUUCGUCGAACAUGUUGUGCGCGCCGGUCGCCGGCUCAACGAGUGAGCUCGCCGGCGCUUCGGUAGCCGCCGCGCCCGUCGUACGCCCCGCAAACUUCUUCCUCCUCGCCUUGGAGGUGCCGGAGCCGUCCGCCGCCUUGUUUUUCUUCGCCGAUGUCUUGCCCUUCUUUGGCCGCGCCGCAUUGGGGAGCUUUGAGAAGGAGGGGCGGCGGCUCGGGCCAGCGGCGGCGCGACGCCACCCGUCGCCGAGGUCAUCCGCGGCGGCAUGAAGAGGUCGCGCGCGAGGCCGAUGGUCGGAGGAGCUCUGGCGGAGGCGAGGCCAAUGCCACCCGGGCUAGGGUUUGCGGCGGCGGCGACGGGGGGUCGCGUGAAUAGGACGGGGUGAGCGGGGUUCCGGCACGUGCGUCCAUGGGGUGCGCGUGCCGGUGCCGGGGCGCGUGGGGCUUUGGAGGGGGAGAAGACAGAGCACAGCGCGAGCGCUCGAGUGUGCCGCGCGCGAAAGCGGGCGCCGCAAAUACACCGCGCGAGGUAGCGCUUCCUGCCGCGUGCCCAACUCCUUAUACCACGCGAGCGGUUAUUGCGCGCCCGCUGGAGCCAUCCGUCGGGUUACGCGCGCGCUAAACUGGGUAUAUUUACGGCGCGGCGCCUGUUUAGCGCGCCUGUUGGAGAUGCUCUUACAAAUCCACAAGUUCAAUGAUCCGAACAACAAAGUUAAAAGCAAAAGAUACAAGCCUACAGGCAGAAUCACAGCGGCGCAGCGCUGACAAGCCAACAACAAGAAGGAAAUGGGCUAUCGAGGUAGCGAGGGGCGGUGAUGAGACGGUGAUGUCCCCUACGGUGGUCGGCGCAUCUCAGUGCACCUUGCUCGCACCUUUGUUACGAGCUCCUGCACGCAUCCUCUGUCUUGUGGUUUUACUAGUAGCUUCCAAAGCUGCAAGAAAGACACCAUUUUGUAUAGAAGAUCAGCUGGAUGCUUGAUAAAAUGAACAUACAAAAUGAAGGUGGUUAUUCGUACGAAACUGCGUGUGGCAAGAAGGGUAUAGAAAGUGGGACGAAAUCACAUGUGUUGUCCAUGAUAUUGGAGGCGGUUUGCACAACCGCCGACUUCGUGCAGAGUAUUAACGAAUCAGGCUUUGAGGAGGAAAUGAAACUAGUGUUGUAAUAUAUUCCAAAAAUAUUUGGUUCCAGGAAACAUUUGAAUUAAUAGUAUAUGAGAAAAACAUAUUAUAUAUUUGUAUAGUUGAAAAAUAUUUGUCCAAUAUAGGUAGUAAAAUAAUAUAAUGGUUUUUUUCCAUGCAUGUUGGGUGGGCCUUCGAUGAGGUGGCAUAUGUGCAUGGCUUAUAUGUGUAUGUUGAAAUAAAUAGAAUUAAUGAGGGUCAAUCCAUAAUAAAAAAAUAAUUCUCAUGCAUAUUGUGCUGGAUCGUUGAUGAUGUGACAUGUGUGUAUGUUAAGAUAAUAGAAAUAACAAGGAUAAACUAUUUAGGUAUGUAGGAUAUGUUUUUAAUCUCAUUUUAUGGUACGUAUUGAUUAUGCAGAUUUGAUGAACGUUUUGGCAAAACCAUUAACUAUAGAAUGUUCUAGGCCAGAAAUAAAUAUGAUUUAAUGGGAUGAUAUAUUUAGCAUAUUUGAUGAGGCAGUUGAUGGAAUGAUAAUUAGGAACAAAAUAAAUGAAAUUAAAGUACGAUUGACUUUGAUUUCGUUGGGCAGCAUAUAUAAUACGUGGUCAGGGCCUCAAUCUACAUGCACUUCCCAGUUCCUCAUAUUCCUUGAUACAAUUUGUAAGCAGCAACAAUUAGCUAGCCAUGGCCAACCAGCAUCUGCUCCUCAUCGUCUUCAUAGCUUCCAUCCUCCAAGCGGCCACCUCCGACACAGCGUACGACCUUUUGGAGAAAAACAACUUUCCGCGGGCUCUCCUACCUCAGGGUGUGAAGUCGUACGUGAACCAUGGGGGCGCUGUUGAGGUGACCCUCCCCGCCUCGUGCGACUUCAACGUUACGGUUGCCGGUGGAUCACACAAGAUUCGGUUUGACAGCAUAGUCAGUGGGGUUAUCCGGCCCGGAUCCAUAACUCAACUAGGCGGCGUGAGGAUCC
rnacentral:lncRNA from 1 species